rnacentral:lncRNA from 1 species
GGGCCUUCUUUCCACUUUAAACCAUAGUUACGAGAAAGAUCGAGGGAGGAUAAUUUGGAAAGGUGUGAGAGUUGGGAAGGAAUUUGACCUUGGAAGGAAGAAGCAGAUAAGUUAAAGUAUGUGACGCUGGCAAACUUACCAAAGAGAAAUGGAAAAUGAGAUUGAUAGAAAUGGUUGAAAGCAAGGUUGAGUGAUUGGAGAUGAGAAAGAAGGAAAAGUGUACUCUUUGGAUGGAUUCGGCCAUGAAGCCCACUGCAAGCAAGGUGGAGGCCGAUCACAUGGCCGGAGAUGGGGUGGCAGGUGACUCCAUCCCAAGAGCAACAAUCUAUUCCAUUUUUCCAUGUUGCUGUCUUUGGAUAAUAACAAUCAUCAUCAAUAGAAGUAGAAAUAGUAAGAGAGUUAUUGAAGUGAUGCAAGAGAAAGGUGUCAUAAGGAUGGCAUAAGGAAUGAGAGGAUGAAAAAUGAAAAAGUAAAAAGAGAAGGAACCAUCUCAUCCUUAACUCCAUUACUUCUAACUAACUCUCAAUACGGCUUGAUUGAAUGUGUUAAUGGGAAUGAUCGAUAUUUAUACCCAAAUUCAAAACAAGAUAUUUACAAAGUGAUGCUUUCAUUGUGUUGUGGAAUUCAACUUUAAACUUCAACAACGCAUCUCUCACUCAAACUUUCGUUUUCUAACCUUUUACUUACGCUGUGGAAUUGAUUUUUCUACUUCAUGUCCUUAAUUUUCAGUUCCUUUUUUCUCUGUUUAAAAUGCAUUUUUCAAGCUAUGGGUGAGUCAUCAGUUAUAUCAAAUACUUGGAUUUUUUUAAUGAAAAUAGUGUAAUUAUUUUUAUCAAGUUUAAUGAUAUUAAUAAAAUUUAAAAAGUUUACAGAAAUAAAUAAAUCAUGUUGAUAUAAUACGAUUUUAAAAUAAAAAAAGAUGAAUAUGUGUUUUAAAGUCACGGCUUUUAAUUUUUCAGUCAUAUUGAAUACGGACAACUUCAAUUUUUUUAUAACUAUAACGAUACUUAGACAACAUUUUUUUUGACAACAAACCAAUCACAGAAUGACACGUAUAUGAUAUUAAAAAGUUAUCAGUCUAAGUAUUUUUUAUAAUUUCUAUUAUAAAUUAACAGUUUUCCUAUAGUGAUUGUCCUUUUUAUAAUUUCUAUUAGAAAUCAUGGUCUUUCUAUUACAUUUUUUUACAAUUUUAUUUAUACUUUUAUUAUAAGUCCUUUUUAUUGUUACUUCUUUCUCUUUUAAAGUUUAUAGUUUUUUUUUUUUUUCAAGAAAAGCAUUUCGAAAACUAAUCUCAUCGUUGUUAAAGAAAAUAUCGUUGAAAAGUUUUAUUUGAUUUUUAAGUAACUAUUAUAUCUAGCACUUAGACUAUAAUCUUUCUACCCCCAUCAUAUACGUUUCUAUAUAACCACUUAUAUUGACUUGGGAGUCAGUCACUCACUGCAAACACGACAUAAUUCAAUUAUGAAAUUUUGAGUUUGUAUCUCUUCAAUUAUUAUGUAAAACUAUUUUUCACGUUUCUCCUUAAAUCAAUAAUGUCAUACAAUGAAAUAUGAAAAGAAAUUUAACCUUUUGGAUAUAUUAUUUAAACUACCAACAGAACCUUAUCUACCACUUAGACUAUAUAAUAUUUCUACCCCGCCAUAAACGUUGCCAUAUUUAUAUUCACUUGUUACAAAAAUGACAUAAGUAGAUGAACUUUGAUUAAUCAACUAUGAAAUUUAGAGUCUCUAUUUCUUCAAUUAUUAUGUAAAACUAAUUGUCAUGUUUCUCCUUAAAUCAUUAGUUCCAAACACUUUUUCUUUAAUUCCACAAAAAUGUUCAUGGGACACACUAGUGCAGAAAAGGCUUUAGACGUAUGUUAUUUUGACCUUCUAACGUCAGAUCCAAAACCAACGUUUAUAUGAGUGACGACAAUUGGACGUCGGGUACUGCAGUUUAGACAUUGUUAUAGACGUCCGUUACUAUGCCAACCGACGUCUAUAUAAACGUCCAACAUGGCACAAGCUGACAUCUAAGGGUAAUCUAUAGACGUCGGACGUGACCCAAACAGACGUCUCCGGACACUAUACAGACGUCAGACAUAACAUUAACCGACGUCUAAGGGCACUAUAAACGUCAAGCAUGACAUUAACUGACGUCUAAAUGGUGUUCGUUGUGAUUUUUUGCAGUUGUCUCGUGUCUUUGGGUAUCAUUGUAGCACCUCCUUCCUUUGCUAGUUUCUUCGUAAGAAAAAAUUGCGUCUUCUAAAUCUUUCAUGACAUUUCAACCCAAAACCGAACUUGGGUCGCUGCCUAGUUCCAUUUCGACCGCCAAUGAAAAAGAAUACGGUGACACCAUUAUCUUUUUCAUUGGCGGUAGGAGUGGAAGUAGGCAACCACCCAGGUUCUGCUUCAGGUUGAAAUGCCAUGGAAGAUCCAAAAAAUGCAAGCUUUUCUUAGGAGGAAGCUAGCAAAGGAAGGAUGCGCAUUACGCCACACAAAGACAUGAGAAAAACUGCACCAAAACACAACGAAAAGCUUAUUUUAAUCGGUUCAAAUUGAGAUCAAGCGAAUAAAAAGCAAGUUUAAUCAGAAUAAAAGUGAAGUUUAAACGGUUGAAAAGUGUUCAAACGCACUUGAAAGGCAAUGUAGAGGAGAGAAAAGGCGAGGGAAAACGAUGAGUGCGCAAAACAGGUUAAGGAAGGGUGAUUUAACAAGAAAUUAGACGUCUGUUAGCAAGUAAACUAACGUCUAUAAUAGAAUAUACGUCGGGAUGUUACUAAUAUGACGUCAAUAUGGACGUCCGAUGUCAUGGAAACCUACGUGUAUAGUCGCAUAUAGACGUCCGUUGGCGAUAUUGGACGUCUUCAUUACGGAAAAAAAUAAAUUUUGCUGAUUUACUUAAUUUCUGAGUUGUGUUUCUUUAAGAUAGAUUGCCAAUAGUGUCUUUAGCUCUAGAUCUGAGUGAAUGUAUUUCUAGCAGUAAUUUUUGUAGUUAGUUCAAUUCAAGUAAGCAGUUUGAGCAUGAUUGAGAGUAGCAAGUUCAAUUUUGACAAAUUUUUAACCUUAGAGAGUUUUGGGCCAAAUUUUUUCUUUCUAGCGUGAUUGCAUACAUGUAUAGCUAUAGUUCUGACUUUGCAUUAAUUCUCUUUGAGUGUGCUUGAUCUUGGUAAAACUUUAGAGGUGAUCUAGGCCUUAUUCUUCUUCCCAUUCAUAAUUAUUUCCAUUGUACCCUCAUUUGAGUCGUAGCCUUUUCUUUGUUUUCUAUCCAUUAUAAACCAUAUUCCCCAUCAAUAAACAACCUUAAGAGAUGUGUAAGAAGCAAGGAGACUUUGGAACUCAGAAAAAGAGUGAGGCCAGAGGUAAAGUGAGAAGAAAAAGAGCUCUAAAAAAAACUGAUCUCGAAAGAGAAGAAAAAGAACUAUGAAAAAAUGAAAAGUAGAAAAUUGAUUUGGAAAAAAGAACUGAAAAAGAAAGAAAGAUACAAAAAGUUAAGAUUCUGGCCAAGAAGAAAAAAAUGAAAUACUUGUACAGAGUUCCAGUUUCCCUUCUUUCUUGAACCUUUCUCUGAUCCAUUCUAGUUUCUACUUUUCCAUACAUCUAGCCUUUCCAUUCUCCAUUACAUUACAAGCCAUGCAAGUCCAAGUGAUCUAGAGUUACCAUGAAUCAAGUAGUGUCAAUUAGAGUUUUUCCAAAGUUAAGAAUUGUGGUCUAUCAUGUUAUGUGGAGGAAACAGGCUGACCUUAAACACUUGAGUGCAUUGAGUGUAAACACCUUAUCCUGUGAGGUUGAAUUUGGGUUGCUACUUCUCUGAAUUGUGAUUUUCUGCUUGUUUUGGUUGAAUAUGAUUGUUCAUUACUUGCUAGAGUUGCUAAAACUUAGGUUUGGAGUGAAUGAUUCUGAUUGUGCAGUUCUAAUUAGAGAAAAAUAGCUAGAGUUUGGUGAAUUGGUAGAAUUGAGUUGAUUGUGAUAGAGCCCAGUGUUUUAGGUGGUGUGUUGAGUUUUUUUUCUUUUUAGAUUGAAUCUUCUUUUUCUUUUUAGUUUGUCCCUCUGCCCAGGAAGGCAGUUCUUUAAGUGUGGGGCUGUGAUAACUCUAAAUAUUUUCAUAAUUUUUCGUGUUUAGAAGUACUUGUUAGGAUAGUUUAGUUUCUAAUUUUCUAGAAGUAGGCUAGUUUUGCAUUUUGUCUUUAAUUUUAGAGUUUUGUUAAAAUAGUGUUAAUUUUACCUUUUUAGUUAAAUAAGAUAGUUUUUUUUAAUUAGGAAUUUUAUCUUUUAGAAAAAUAUUCAGAAAAUUUAAACUAGAAUUUCAUUUCUUUAGGCUUUAUUUUUUUUUCAUUUUAUUUUACCAUUUUAUUCUUUUUAAAUUGAUAUGUUAAUAUUUUGCAGGAAUAAAUAAAGAGGGAUGCUGCUAAAUGAAUAAAAGAAUGGGCCACUCUUGGUUUAGUGAAGCUGAUUUAUGUGCUGAUUUGGGCCACCUGCGCAACCCACUGAUCAAAAAGUUGUUGCCACACUUGGAGCGCUGCUACUGCUGUUUCUUAUUAUGCCCCUGCAUUUGGAAUGAAUUGUAGGCCACUAUUGGACAAAUUAAAUUACAAUCGGGCCGCGUGAUUUAGUAGGCGCUGCUGACUUAGUAUCUCUACCUCAGACGCGGCUUGAAGAAUGAAAUGGUCGGCUGCUACGUGUUGGACUUGGGCUGAGUUCCAAUUAAAUGAAACGCACCGUUUUGGUAAGGGGUGGCAGCAGAUGCACUUCGAGGGGUCUCUACUCACAUCUCAUUUGAAGAAAUCAAGCUCUCGAGACAUCCAUUUGGAGAAGAAGAAAGAAACACCCAUGUGCUAGGGCUCUUAUGCGAGAAGAAAUAGAAAGAUCGAGAAGGGCUAGAGCAAGUCCUGACCAGAGCUGACCGAUGGAAAUGAAGAGCUUAUCGGAUGGCUGGAAGUUGAGCUCGCAUAGGAAGAAAGAUGAUCGUCCGAUCAGAACGUCAAAGCGUCGAGAGCAAGCUUCCUUUUUUCCCUCGUUCUUUUAUUUUCAUUCCAUUUUUUUUCUUUUCUUCAAAUCCUAUAAAAGGGGGCUCCUGCCAUGUAAAUACGGCUUCUUUUACAGACUUUCACGACCUUAGACACUUUCCAUUUUUCUAGUUUUAGAUUACGGUUUUGUGUUUCAUGCUUUUGGAGCUCACGUCACGGUGGUGACAGCCCGCGGUGGCUCCGAUUACACAUUUGUUCGGUAUAUUUUUGUAAUUUUCAUUCUUCGUUAAUAAUACAUAUGUUUCUCUACGUUUCUGUUCUUUGUGAUUAUGUUGUGUUUCGUGCUUCGGUGUUUCUUGUGUUGUUAUCAUUAAAAAUUGAAUUGGACUCUGUGAUUCUGCAUUCUAUGAUUACUUUUGGAACCAAAUGACUCUGUAAUGAGCAUUUUUCAUCGAGAUGUCUUCUCGAGUCAGAAGAGAGUCGAGUGUAUAAAAAUUCAAUGUUUCUAUUUUUUUCGUUUCCAAUAUGUGUGAUUGUGUGCUGUUAUUGAACUGUUAUGAUAAUUUUGAAGGAAAACAUCCAAAAUUUUACAUCUGUCUGGAUGUAAUAGGACCCAGGAUUGGGCUUAAAUUUUCAAGAGCUCUUCUUGAGAGAUGUUAAGCUUCGCCAUUAUCAAACUAAGUCCAAUUUCAGUGUUGUGUUUUCAGUUUUUUUGAAACUAUGCAUUGGUUGAUUAAUUGAGUGAGAAUUGUCAUUUCAAGUUCUGAAAUAUGAACUAAAAAGACCCGGUGAUGGGCUUAACUUUCUCGGAAUGUCUUUAUGAAGAGUAAUUGAGACUAUUUCAUUCAAUCUAUUGCACAUUUUCCUCUGUUCUUUGCUUGUGCCUGUUAUCUUUGGUUUAGUGCUUUAUUUUUAAUAUUUUUGUUGAAUUGAUGUUGAAUAGUCUUAGGUCUGAUUGUGAUGUUUACUUUACCUUCCAUUCGGUUAUGUUCGAUGAUGAUCUAGUCUUUGCAUUUACAUUUACAUUUCCAGAAUAGGCAUAUAAUUAGGAAAUUUAGUUGUUCAUUGGUUUUAUAGGUUGGUAUCUAGGUUUAUUUUAGUUUCAGAUUCAUUAGUUUAGGAUCAUCUUAGUUGCAUUUAAAUUUUCAGAUUCAUUAUGUUGAAGCAAGGAACUUGGAGAAAAAAUCAAAGGAAGAGAUGAAGAAGCCAGAGUCAUGCAUAGAUGGAGGGUCCAGUGGUGGUUAGGGUGGAGGAAGUGGUGGUUUAGGAGGAGGGUACGGAGGUGGAGCUGGUAGUGGUUUAAGUGGUGGAUUUGGAGGAGACGGUGGAGGUGGUAGUGGUCUAGGUGUUGGAAUUGGUGGACUUGCAGGUGGUGCCAGUGCCGGUGCUGGGAUAGUUUGUGGAAUUGGUGGAAUUGGUGGAGGCAUUUACAAGGGAAUUGGAAUUGGAGGUGUUGGAGGUGGUGUAGGUGCCAUAGGUGGAAUUGGUGGUGUCAUUGGUGGUUUCGAGCAUGUUGACGACAAUAAGCCUUGAAACAUUUACCUUAAAUAAUUGCAGACUCGUGACGAUAUAGUUCUAUCAUCAGUGUUUCAUUUUCGCUUGCUAUUUUAAUUUGUUUUCAUUUUGUAUCCACAAAUAAGUUCACCUACGUACCUAGAUGCAUGCAUGCUAAAUUUUCAUGUUAUGUAAAAGAUUCCAAGAAUAUAUACUUGUCGUACAACAUUGCAUGUCUUGAAUUGUAUACAUAUAUCUUUGCAUUACGAGGAUGCUGAGUUGCUGUUAUAGUAAUUUUCAAAACAUAUAUGUACUGAACUUUAAACGUACAUUGUUUUCUGUUUGUUGUUCCAUUUUUGUUUCUAUAUCGCCUUAUAUUUCUCAUUGCCACCUUAGGAUAAGGCAUGAUGGCUUUAGAUUUCUAUAUUUUUUUUUUAUUUUUCCUUUUAGUUCAUAUUCUUCUUUCUUUCAAACAAAUUUUAAUUCAGUUUUAAUUCUUUUCUUUUUCAUUUUAAUAUUUUUACUGUCCCCACCUAGCAUUAGUAGUAGAUAAUUAGUAAAAAUACAAGAUUUAACCCUAGACUUUAAUCUUAAUUUUGUCGAGUCCUAGGAUUGAUAUUUUGGUCAUCCCUAUACUGCAUUAGUGGGGACCAGUUCUUUGUUUUGUCUUAAGCGACUAAAAGACAGUUUAACAACAGUUUAUGCAGGUUGGUUUGGUUGGGUAAGAAAUACAAAUGUGCUUGAGAUUUGCCUGGAUCUUAUCGAAGGCUUUUGUCCUUUGGUAAUUACUGACGACCUCAUGUCCUUCAGUAAUUACCGAAGGUUUAUGCCCUUCGAUAAUUAUCGAAGGCUUUUGUCCUUCAAUAAUUAUCGAUGGCCUCAUGUCCUUCAGUAAUUACUGAAAGUUUGUUAGUGGCAAGAGUUUUACCGAGGGCUUCAUGGUUGUCGCUAAGCCGUUGGUAAAUGAUCAUUACUAAAGGCUUCUAGCUGUUUCCGAAGGAUUAUGGCCGUCGGUAAUGGCCUUCUUUUUUGUAGUAUGCAAUUUUUAAAAUGGGACAAUGUCAUAGACUGACAAAAGAAGAAAAAGGUUUGUUGCAUUGCAGAAGAACAAAGGAGAGAGAAAAAAAAGUUAACGUCGUUCAUCUGUAUUCAACGGAAGGAACGAAGUUGACGCAAAAUUUAAUAAAUCAAUACUAAUUUCAAAACAUUUUAAAACAAUGGACUAAAUUGACAUUAUUCGGUAAAAUUGGGACAAAAUAGACUAUUAAACUAAGAUUUAAAAGUGUAUAUUAAUAAAAGAAAAUUAAAUUGGUCCAAAAAAUUGAAAGAUGAAAACUGUUUAUUAUUUGUUUAACAAGUUACUUCUAAAAAAAAGAUUCAUGGGUUGAUCCUAGUCCAUAGGAUUUUUGUAGAUAUUUUGAUCCUAUGAGCUUUUUCUAUGAGAGACUUUUUGGUCCUACGAGUUUUUCUGGCACCAACUCAUGUGAGCCAAACCAUUUAAAGGAUAUUAAAUUGACGGGUCUAACAAUAUGUGAUUGGUAAGUCCGUUUAUGCAAGAUUUCAAGAUGUCACAUAUAAAAAAAUAAUUAUAUAUAACAUAAAUACAUUUUCAUCUAAAAAAUAAUUAUUUAAUUUUAUAAAAUAAAAUACACUACAGUAAAAUGGGGAAUUAGUUGCGAGAUAUUACCGAGGGGCUGGAGGCCCUCGGUAAAUACAAUUUACCGAGGGCAUUAACGAGGGCCAUAGGACCGUCGGUGAGUUGCUUACUCAUUUAACCCGCACCUUCAGUUUCCCUCCACUCUUCGAGCCAAAAUACCAAGUCAGAGAACUCUCGUCCCCUUUCAGAGAACCUUCGUCGUCCAAAAACAUUCCCUCCAAAACCCUUCCCCUUUGCUCCUCCAACACCAAAGUCGCGCUCUCUAAAACCUAAUCUUGUUUUGCCCAAAUUUCAAAAAUUCCAGUUCUCCUCUACCCAAAGCCCUAACCCUAAGGCGUUCUCGGUGUAGCUUCCAUUGGUUUGUGCUUUUAUUCUCUCGUGUACCUCUCUUGUCUACCUCUGUCUUUCCGGUGGCAUUGUGUGUCUGUCCGUUCUGUCUGGUCUCAUUGAGGUUCGUUGUGCAUGUUGCAGGUGGGGUGGUGGUUCGUGGAUGUGCACGUGAGGCUUGUUCGCCGCAGGGGUGGUGGUUCGUGGCUAUACGCGUGAGGUGUGGAGGGGCAUCCACCGAAUUGGGUGUUCUAACAAGUAAGCAAGCUUCAUUCCUUUCCUGUUGGGCGCUUGUUCUGCUUUUUGUUUAAAUGUGACUCUUCUUCUUUAUGUUGUACCAUUUGAUGAAGAAGGAGGUUGUAUUAUUUCUUUACUGGGUAAUUGGUUUCCAUGUUGAACGUAUCCUUCCUUUAUGCCUGAUGAAAUAAAAAUGCUUUGUCUUGGUAACUCCUUAUGCUCAUGUGAUUAGUAGUAGUUUUAUUUGUGAAUGAAAAUCAUGGUGAGGAUUGAUGAGUGAUUGGUGAUAGGCCUUGGAUUAUGUGAUAGCAGAAGCAAGGCAACAUGGAAUUAGGCUCCUUCUUAGCUUAGUGAAUAAUUUGCAAGCAUAUGGUGGGAAGAGUCAGUAUGUGAAAUGGGCAUGGCAAGAAGGGGUAGGCUUAAGCUCCUCCAACGAUUCUUUCUUCUUUGAUCCUUCUAUCAGAACUUAUUUCAAGAACUACAUCAAGGUAUUAAAUCUCUAUCUUUCUUUUCUUUUCUUUUCAUUUCCCCUGCAUCCUGCAUUUUAGAAUAAACAAAGGAGAGUGACUAUUGCCACUUGUUAAAUUUCUAAUACUUUUCUCUUGGAAAACACAAAUGGAGAUGCUCUUUUGCUCAACAGUGGUGGGUUUGCCUUUCUUAAUCACACCCAUGCUUUUCACAGGAGAAUUAUUCAAAGCAUGGACCUCGUGUUCACAGGUAAUUUUGGAAUAAAAACUACCCUUUUCCACACUAGUAACAUGUUAUGCUUUUUUUUAAGCAUAAUCACUAGAGAAUAAGAGUUGGGGAAUCUGCCAAAUUCUGCAAGGGAAAAUGAUGAAAGGAGGCCCUUGGUAUAACUUAUUGUGUUCUAAAUGAAAGUAUUUUUUUUAGGUCAUAUUUUUUUAAAAUCACAAUUUCUUUGUUAUUUUCAUGUCAUGUGAAAGGAAAAAGAAAAUAAUUUGUUGUCCAAAUUAGCAUUUUAUAUUAUUUUUUAAUGGAAAGUAUCAAAUUUUAUUUUUUGAAUGCAUUUAAUAUUCUUGUACUUAUGUUUUGAUAUUGAAUCAUACGAUUUUGAUACUACGAAAUUUCUUCGCGUUAUGGACAAGUUGAAGCAUGGUGAAGCAGUAGAUAUUCCAAAGUAUGAUUUUAAGACUUACAAAAGUGAUGUGUUAAGAAGGGUAUAUCUCUGGAACUUAUGUUUAAUAUUGAUUUUUUUUUUUUUGGCAAAAAUGUUAAUUGGAUUUUUAUGGAGGUGAGUUUCUGAAAUGCGGACAAUUAAUGUUGAGUGUAAUGGAUUUAUUUAUUUAUUUUUAAUUUUAGGAUAAAAGGUGAAGUGGGUUCAAUAGGGCUAUGAGAAUGAUUGCUUGGUAUAAGAAGUUUGCUAGUCUUUUGAUUCAUUGCAGAGGGAAGGAGAAUUCAUGCAGGCCGUGUGGAGCCCCCAGAUGCCAAAUUAAUUGUUAUUGUAAGUUUGCUAGUCUUUUGAUACAUGAUAAGAUAUAUUCUAUGAAUGACCAACUUUACAUUGUAAGUAGAAAUCUUUAAGUUAUAUUUCUACUUUUGAUGGCCACGNNNGCGUGAUGGGAGAUUGACUUUACUGUAAAGUCCUCUUCUUCUUUCCUUUUUAAAAUGUUUAGGAAAUAUUUUUACUUUUAAAAUUUAAGUAAAACAUUAAUUCUUGUAUUUCUUGUUUAUAAUUUUGUAAUAUUUAAGUCCCUGUUAUGUGCUUGUUUGGACUCUAAAUUAAUGUGUGUCUAUUUUUGUAGAUUGUCAAAUGAUUAUGGACUAUUUUAGCAAAUUUGUAUGCUUGUGCACUAUAAUAAAUGUCCAAUUGCAAUACUAGUCUUAUUAUUGGAUAACUGAUAUGGCUAGCUGUAACUAGGGGCUCUGACCUAGUUUUAAUAAAAUUAUUGUUUUUGAAAAUUUAUGUAUUAUGGGCUAUGAUACAUGCUAGGAAAUCAGAAAUUUAUUCAAGACUUUGAAUGAUAAUGAUUUGAAUGGAAACCGGAAAAUCAUGACCAAUAUAGGAGUGAGAGGAGGGAAUUUAGCAGAGGGGCCUAUUGAUAUGUUUCUUUGCCUUAAAUAUUUAACUUGUCUUUCUGAACGGUUUUGAAAUGGUAAUUGCCUUGCAUUUAACUUGUGCCUCUUUGAAUGGUUUUGAAAUGGUAGUUUAUUUUGUAACAGUGCUUCACAAAUACCAUUGGCAGUAUAAUAUAUCUUUGUUCUAUUCCGGUCUCUUUAUAAUUAUUUUAAUUGAAUACAGUUUCUAGAUAUUGUACAUCUAUUUGAUGGUCUUUUUCUAUUGUUUUCAAAGAACUAUUAUACUUUUUUUUUAACAAGUAUGUGUUUGUUUCUUCAAAGGCCUUAUCUUUCAAUACUUGUUGAAUUAUAAUUUGAAUAUUAUUAAUUUUUUUGAAUUGUUUAUUUUCCAGUUUUUGAAUCUCUUUGGAGAUGUUCAAUCAAUAAAGAGAGCAGAGGAUAUGCAUGCCAAAUUGUUUUUGCCACACAGAAGCAUAUCGGAGUUGAAGAAACGUCAUGUUGAGGAUUUCUUAUCUUCAGACAAAGUUAAAAUGUCAAAUUGUAGGUAGAAUGAUAGGUAGAAUGAAUUGUGAGAUUGUGCAGUUCUUUUUCAAAUUGUAGGAGAUCCAUUUCCCACCAAUCAUAAGUUUUAUUUUCUUAAUAUAUAUAACAAAUAAAUAACCUUAUUUUUUAGGCUUCAUCUAUUGCCAUGAUCCAUGACUUUAUAUGAAGCUUGUAUCUUCUGUUUCCGUGGAUCAAAGUUAUCUCUUCCUUUUCCUUGUAAAUUUUACAUCUAACAUUUAUUUUUGUGUAGUAGCCAUGAUUGUUUGCAGAUCUGCAACCCUUGAAUCUGUCUUAGAUCAAUUAAUUGUUUCCUUUGAUUUUUUUUUUUGCAGACUGUCUUGACAAGGAAGAAUAGUAUUACCGGCAUUGAGUAUAGAAAUGGCCCCACCAUUUUUGGUUGGGAAUUGAUUAAUGAACCUCGUUGCAUGUCUGAUAUACAUUAGAAGGAACUGGACAUCUUUUAUUUUAAGUAUUAGUAGAAACUUGGCUACAAUUCAAUAGUAUAUGUACAUUUGGAUUUAAUAUAUACUUUUAUGCACAAACGAUGUAUUAAAUAUUAUUAGACUAUUUAAAGUUUGAAAUGAAUUAUAUUUUGUUUCAUUAAAUUUGUUUAUUUGGAGUGAUAUUGAUUAUAAAGUGAUUGGAUAAUAUGAUAAUACAGGAAAUUAUAAUUUCAUUGGAUGUCAAAUUAACAAUCAAUUUUUUUAAAACACACAUAUUAUAACGUAGAAACGUCUUUACGUCAUUAUAUCUUCUGCCAUAAUUAUAACGUAAAAACGGGAGUACGUUAUAAUAAACUGCCCAUAUUAUAACGUAAGAAUGGAAGUUGGUUGUAAUAAACUGUCCAUAUUAUAACGUAAGAAUGGAAGUUGGUUAUAAUAAACUGCCCAUAUUAUAACGUAAGAAUGGAAGUUGGAUAUAAUAAACAGCACAUAUUAUAACGUAGAAGUGGAAUUUCGUUAUAAUAAACUGCGCAUAUUAUAACGUACUUCAGAAACUACGUUAUAAUAUGUUGAACUUAUUAUAACGUACUUCAGAAAAUACGUUAUAAUAAGUUCAGCAUUUUAUAACGUAAAUUUCUGCUACGUUAUAAAAUGCGCAGACUUAUUAUAUCGCCCAAAACUAUAUCUACAGUAACUACGUUAUAAAAGGUCAAAUUUGUACGUUAUAAAAGGGUGUUUUUCCACUAGUGGAUCCCUCUGGUGACACUCUAUAAGUAAGUUUCUUCACCUGCGCUUUAGCACCUUGAAAUAGUAAUGGAAAAAGUAUGCUGGCAAUAUCAAAUUAUUUAUAACACGGUGGUUGAAUUUGAUAAAAUCUGAUAAGAAGGAUUCUACAUUCAAUUUUUAGCCCUUUUUACUAUCUGGAAGGUUAGACAAAUUAUUCGAUCUUUCAUAAGAAGGCCUUAUUGUUUGAUGUUCAUACCAUUUUAUAAUAUAAUCAGUGUUAUCCUAUAUAUCUGCUGCAUAUUCCUAUAAGUUGAGGCCACUGCUGAGAAAUGAAAGAAGAUUUGUAUAGUGUUUUUUUUCUUGUAUUAAUAUUACAGUAUGUAUGUGUAUCCUAAGUUUUUGGAAUGCAUGUAGAGGUUUUUGAUUCAUGCAUCAGUGUUUUUUGUAUCAUUGGUUUUGGUCAAUGGAUUGCUGGAAAAUGAAUUGCAGCCUACUGAGUUUUGGCUAUUCUACUCUGUUGUCACAUUAUUUUUGACUUAAAAUCUGGUAAUUACCGAAGGCUUUUGGCCCUCAGUAAUUACCGCGAGGGACGAAAGCCCUUGGUAAUAGUUAGCAACAAGCAAUUUACCGAGGGCUUUUUGACCGUCGCCGGACCCUCGAUAAUGAGUCUUUAGCGACGGCUUAUGACGUUUUCCGAGGGAUUGUGGCCUUCGGUAAUGCCCUUCAUUAUUGUAGUGAUACUUAUAUUAAAUUUAAUUAUAUUUUUGUAAUUUAAAAUUAAUUUAAUAAAUAUACUAUAAUUUGUAAAAAUGUUGUGCUAGACAUACAAGUAUUAGAUAUUCUGUAAACCAAUAAUACAUUUGUAAAACAUUUACUUCUAUAUAUAACACACCUCAACGCAAUGGUAACAAAUGAAAUAAAUUGUCUUGCAAUGUAUCUCUUUAACUUCCUAUCUCUUUGUCAAGGUUAAUCUUUGCCUUUUAAUUUUAUUUGACAUUGUAUGUUGUUAUAAUAUUUACUUCUUUUUAUGUCACAAGUAACAUUUUGUCAAUAAAGGUUAUUAUGUUUUGUAGGUGAAAGUUAUUGUUUAGUAGGUCAAAUGUUAAAAUGAAUAAUAUUCACACUACUACAAAAAAGUGCAUAGAUAGCGCUUUUUUUUUAUCAUAGAUAGCUCUUUUUAAGCGUAAUCUAUGCGUGCACUAUCUAUUAAUAGAUAACACUUCUAAAAAAAGCGCUAUCUAUUGUCUGCAACCAAUAGAUAGCGCUUCUUUAAAAAAGCGCUAUCUAUUGUCAGCAACCAAUAGAUAGCGCUUCUUUAAAAAAGCAUUAUCUAUUGGUUCAAAUUUAAAAAAUAAUAAUAAUAAUUAAUUUUAGAAUAAAAUAUAAAAUAUUGGUUCUAUUAUAUACAAAUCUACACUAUAUAUUAGUUAUAUUAUAUACAAAAAAAAUAUAAAAUAUUGACAAAAAUAUGACAAAUGUCUUAAAAAGAAUUGUGAUUAAUAUGAAUAAAAAUUAUUGGUCCAAUAAUAUUUCAAAAUUUAAUCAUUAAGUCGUCUAGUACAUGUCAUGACAUGAGAUUUCUUUAUAAGAUAAUAUAUACAGUCAUAACAUAUAUAUCCUAUUAGUAUUGUACAUCAUUGUAACAUAACCUAUAUGCAUGUAAUAAUUACAUGUAAACACUAAUUUCACUAAUUCAAUGAUCUGACUUUCAUGAUAACGUUGGCAUCUUCAACUAGAAAAAUACUGCAUGAAAGAAAAAUAAUGUAGAAUUAGUUAAUUAAAUUUUACUACAAAUUAAUUAUAAGAAUAAAGAUAACUUACAUAAGUUGGAAUUAUUCCUCCUUCACAGUAUGUAAUAAUUUCCUUCAUAUAUUGACACACAUAAUAUCCACAAUCAUUGCCAUUGGGUUGUCUUGGGCACUAGAAUUCCAAAAUAAUAAAAACAUUUUUAUAAUUUGAACAUAAAAAAGAACCAAAACUCUAGUAUACUCCAAACAGAUUCAAUGCAUGAUAACAAAUAACUAUAUACCAUAUACAAGUUUAAACUCUUAAUAAUAAGUCAUGCUUUUGUAACAACCAUAUACUCCUACAACGAGUUUCACAAUAAUACAAGUUAUUUAACUAACCAAUACCAUGCAACAAAGAAAUAAGUCUUCAACCAUUCAAGAAUACAUGUUAUUUACUUAACUAGUACAAUACAAGCAACCAUAACGUGAACUAAAGGUCACAUAAAGUCAUUAAGCAAUUUAAUUAUGACAAUGAAGACUAUAUUACACAAAUCAUACUAGAGUAAUGUACCUUAUUCUUUUAAUAUUUUAAAACAAUUAUUUUUUUGACCUAUGGAUGAAUUAUCACAAAAGUUCUAACUUUUACAACCGUAGAUGAAUCUUAUUACCUUGUUGACAUCUUCCAUCCGAUAGCUUGCUUCCAAAUUCUUAUCUAUGGCAUCUUCUAAGGCAAUAUGUGGUUUAUCAUCUUGGAAUAUUUUAUUAACCUGAAUGUCACAAAAACAAACCUCAAUCAAAAACUUUCAGCCAAGGAAUUUCAAACUGGACCAAUCAUUUUGAUUAUUUCCUCAACAAUUACAACACUAAUAAGUGAUUUCAUUUUAAUAAAUAAAAAAGAUUGUGCUCAAAAGAGGUGUCUAACUUUUGUGUUAUAAUGGACUGAAAUUCUAUUUAUGAUUAAAAUGCAUAAAACCUUACUCUUAUGGAAGGUAGCCUGGUGUUCCUACAAGUCUGGUUGCUAUAAAAUUUUCAUCAUCGGUUCUGUCUACCAGCUUUGCAAGUCCAAAAUUUCCCACCUUUGAAUCCAAUGUCAAGUGCAAUGAUGAGAACUAAAUUUAACACACAAACUUGAUUGGAGAAAUGUAAUUUGACAAGUACCUUUGCUCUGAAUUUGUCAUUAAGUAGAAUAUUGCUACUCUUUAUGUCACAGUGCACAUAUCGUGCUUUUGUAUAAUCAUGUAUAUAUUCAAGACCUUUUGCAGCAUCCAGUGCAAUUUGAACCCUAACACUCCAAGAAAGAGGCUAGUUCCCUGUUCUAGUAUCAUGUUUCAGAUUUCUCUAAAUAUAUCUUAUAACUCUUAUAAUUCUUCUGUUUCUGUGGCUUUUUUUGGAAUAACUUUUGUGUUUAGUUUUGCUAGGAAAAGAAAAUGGUACCUUCCAGUCAAGGUUGUCAAACUCGAGAGUUUACGUAAACUCGUGAGAGUCCAGUAAACUCGUAAGAGUUUACUUUGUAUGAAAAAAAAAAUAUAAAUGACAUCCUAAUUCAAAUAAGAUAACAAAAUUAUAUAAAUUGAAAUACAUAAGUUCAUAGAAAUAUUGUUCAUAAAGAUAUAAUGUAAAACAUAAAUUGAAAUGUCAAAGUCUCUAUGCCUAAUCCUCUAAUCCUCUAAUAAUGGCAUCAUCAUCUCCAUCGUCAUCCUCAUUUAACUCUUCCUCUGAUGAAUGUUGUGCAUGCUCAUUGUUUCCAAAUGUUAUGUUAUCAAGAUCAAGAGCAUCUAAAACAGGAUCUGUUGUUGCUCCAUCUAAGUGAAUAUGUUCACUAUCAUUUUCACCUUCAACUUGAUCAAUCUCAAUAACAUCAUUUGUCUCUUCAGCUAUCCAUUCAUCAUCAGAUUCUGUGUCAUCAAAUGGAAGAGCUAUAGUUUUUCGAAUUUGUCUACUUUUCAGCUUGGAGUUAUACAUCACAUAAAAUAAAUCAUUCAUUUUUUUUAUGUAAAUGAUUCCUUCUCUUUGUAUGAACCUAAAAUGAAAUAUAUUAUUUUUAGUGAAGAUAUAAACAUAAUAAAGGAAUUUAUUACUUAAAAAUAAUUUAAAUUAUCAUUUCAAAUGAACUCCAAUUACGCUCACAUCCAGAAGAACUACAAGUCAAGCUUAGAAUUUGAAUUGCAAAUCUCUUCAACUCUGGAGUUCCAUCACCAAACAUGUCCCACCAUUCUCCAGGAUUUAACUCUUUCCUACACUCUUUUGCAUCUUCCAUUCCAAACAGUCCUCUAGCAUUAUGAAAUUCAACAAUUUGUAAAUUAAUUUUUCUUCUUUCUGCCAUAUCUGGUAUCAAUCUUCUCAUGCAAAAAUACAAUCCUUCUUUCACCUCUCCACCAUCAUCAGAUCUAAAGUUAGGUUCAUAGUGGAAAUGAGGGUUCAGAAAAUAGGCAGCUGCAUGCAAAGGCCUAUGAAGUUGAUUAUCCCAUCGAGCAUCAAUUAUUCUCCAAACCUCUUCAUAACUACAUCAAUCAUGCUAUAUCAGAAAUAAUCUCACACAUAAGUAAUUAAACAUUGAAUGAGUAAAAGUUUGAAAAUUUACCUUUUUUUGAUAUUGUUAAUGUUAGACUUAAUCUUCUCUUUUGCACAGUCCAUCUCUUCAUAAAUGAAACCCAUUGCAGGUUUUACAUCUGAGUCCACUAGUCUUAAGACAACCAUGAGAGGGGCAGCAACUUUCAAGCAUGUGGAGACAUUCUUCCAAAAUCGGCUAUCUAAUACUACAUGUGCUACUUUUCUCCCCUCUUCUGAAGUUCCAAACUUACUUGUCUUCCAUUCCUCAGAGUUGAACAUUGUCAACAACGAUGCCUUCAAUUCAUGAAGACAAGNAAGAGUUAAAUAAGUCGUGGCAAAUCUAGUCACACCCGGUCUUAUAAGGUCUCUACCUUUAGUAAACUUUUUAAUUAAGGAAAUCAACAUUGAUCUCCCAUAAAUGUAAUUUGUAAUUUUUCUUCCCUUCUUAAUGGUCAAUUCAUGGACCUUCAAUUUUUUUUUAAAAUCUUCGAAUAUCAAAUCAAUGCAAUGUGCUGCACAUGGAGUCCAAUACAAUUUUUCCCUCUUUUGCAUCAACAACUCUCUGGUUGCCUUGAAAUUUGCAGCAUUAUCAGUGACAACUUGAACACCAUUUUCUUCUCCAACAAACUCGACAACAUCAUCCAACAUUUUGAAAACUUUAUCAGUUGUUUUUGAAAUGUCUGAAGUGUCAAGUGAAUAAAGAAAAAUCGUCCCUCUAGGACUAUUCACGAAGAAGUUGCAAAUAGAACGUCUUUUUCUAUCCGUCCAACCAUCAGACAUAAUUGUACAUCCAAUUUUCUUCCACUCCUCCUUAUAUUCCUCAAGAUUUUCAUUUGUUUUCUUCACAACUUGUUUCAAGAGCUUCUCUCUAAUAUCAUGAUAAGAUGGUGGUUUAUAUCCAACUCCAUACUUACCAAUCAUUUCACACAUCUUUGCAAAUGCUAGAUUUCUAAUUACAUUAAAAGGAAUGGCACUGGUGUAAAAGAAUUCAGCAACUUGAGCAUCAACUUCUUCUUUGUAUCCUUUUUUCAUCAUUUGAUUUAUAGUUGCUUGAACUCCCCCCUUACUAGUAGUAGCAACUUUUUCUUUUACUUUAAAACCGAAUACCUUGUGUCCUCCUUCAAAACUCUCACUUUCUUCCUCGUCUUCACCGAUAUUUAUCUUUCUUUUCUUUAAUGAAGCAUUCUUAGCUUCUGCAACUAUUUUUAUCAUCAAAUUUUUUAUUUCAUCCGGAACAGAAGCACAAGGCUCAGAAUCUUCUCUAGUUCCAGCAAGAUGAUGCUUAAAUCUAAAUAUGCCUCCACUUACAAUCUUUGAACAAAUAGUUGCAUUUCACUUUUCUUCCAUUGCCAUUAACAUCAAAUCCAUGUUUCCAUCCAAUAUCAGAUCGAUUUCCAGGAGCAUUUUUACUUCUACUUCUAACUGAUGAAGAUACACUUGGAUUAAAAAGAAUGAUGCACUGUAAUGUUGUGAUGUAAAGUGGUGCAGUGCCCGUAACAUACUAUUAAAAAGUUAUUUGGUGCAGUGUAGUGCCCGUAACGUAACAUCAACUUUACUUAAAUUCAAUAAAAUAAUAUAAGUUGCAGUGCCCGUGAACCCAAAGUACAGUUGCAUAAUGCCAUUAAAAUGUUUAAAAAAUAUGUUGUUCGCCCGUGACAUCAACUCAACUUAAAAUCAAUAAAAAAAAAUACAUGUUGCAGUGUCUGUGAGUGCCCAGUGCCAUAAAAGUGUUUAAAAUAUAACUUGUAGUGCCCAUGAAACCAAACUUCAGAUUUUAGUGAUACAGGGUUUGCACUUACAGAACCCACAAGGAUGAGAACGAAGGUGCAAAAGAGGCGAGGUCGAACGUCGAGAUCGACGGCGCGACGAAGGUUGAGUUCGAACAUCAAGAUCGACGGCGCGGCGGACUGCGCAUUUGAUGAACGAGGAAGUGACGAAGGACGAGAUCGAACGGGAUAGAAAGCGAGAGCGCAAGAAAGAAGAUGAACAGUGAGUGAAUGUUCUAAAAAACCUAUUCUGAUGCGUCCUAAAAACGAAUCGUUUUGUGUUUUCGAUUUUUUUUCCAAACUCGCAAAAUCGGAACCAAAAUCGCGAUUUUAGGCGCGUUUAGCGAGUCAACAACCGAGUCUACCGAUCCUACUCUAAAAUCGAGUUUGCUUACGAGUUAACUCGAAAGCAUUGUCUGAACUCGUAAACUCGGUCGAGUUAACGAGUUAACUCGCGUUUUCGAUAACCAUGCUUCCAGUAAUGGAUUAUGAGGAUGAUCACUGAGAGAUCCAUUUGGAACGUACUCAUACACCAAAUAGAGGUCAUCUUCUCCGUUUACAUAUCCCAACAGCUCCACCUGUAGUAGUCAUUAUCAAAAGCAUCGUUUUAUUUUUCUAAAAAAAAAAAACAACACAAUUUUUUUAUUUAUGGCAUUUCAAAAUUGUUAAACUUAGCUUUGGACAUUGAUCGAAUUCUGGCUCUUUGAUAGAUCAUAUAUCAGAUUUAUAUCAAACAUAAGAACUCUCAACACCUGGUCAAAGAAAAUAUCAUCAGAAUUGUUACUUAUAAUAUGUUGAUAAAGUGGAUCUUACAUAAGACCUUGAGUUCUGCAUAGAACUCUUUAGAUUUAUUGGAUCUAAUUUUCUUCACAGCAACUUCCUGCAGUUAAAUGAUAUAUAGAUUUUAGUCAACAAAUCAAAGGAUGUGCUUGCAUUGCUAAGGAUCAUUAAAGAAUGUACUUGGUAUUUGUGUACCUUGCUCCCUAACACUCCAAAAUAAACACUUUUGUAUUCACCACUUCUUAUUCUUCGACUUUCAUCAAAGUUAUUCGUUGCCUCUUCAAUCUUAGUCAAACCAGUUCCAUAUAAUAAUAAGAAAAAAGAGGAUAGAAGCACUACAAUGUUACAAUGAAUUCCUGAGAAAAAAAAAAUAAUAAUAAUGAAUGGAUUUUUCCUAUAUCAGUUGAGUAGUUUGGAAACCGGCAAAGAAAAUACAUAUGAUCCCCUAGGCAUAUAUGUUCUUCUUCCCAUUUUUUCAGUACAAUGGAGAAAAAAUGCCAUUGGUUCCGUUUCAACAAAGGAAACCAUGGACUUUUCAAAUAAAUCUGAAGGGUAUUCAUUAGAAUUUGAUUGCAUCAAACGAAUUGGCAAGGCAAAAGAGUAAUCAAAACUGAAUAUCCAGUCAGUAGAUAAGCCAAACAAACUAGACGAACAUCAUAUUUAUUAAAUGGUUUAUAAAUUUAUAAACAUGAAAGCACAACAACAUUUCACUCAGAUCAAUAACAUCUUAAAAAAAAUCAAUGGAAAACUGAUUAAAUGAUGGCAUACAUAACACAACACGACAACAAUAAAUUAUUAUCUUCUGUUUAGAACAUCUUUGUAUUGGUCAGAAGUGGAAAAAUGGAAAGCUGCAACACAAUCCACCAUCAGCUUAGCAAAUUAGGCACUAUAAUCUAGAAAGUCAAAAGCUUUGAGACAUCAAAAGAUGGAAGAUCAAUUCAAACAAAAACCCAAUACAUACCUUGAGAUGGGAACGUUCUAUAAGUAUGAAAAAAAAAAAACAAAGAUGAGGCUGAUACAGACACAAAAAUAACCAUGGAACAAAAGGGUGACAGAGAGGAAAAAGAAGAAGGUAAGAUAUCUAAAAUGAAAGAUUAAGAAGCCAUGAAGUGGAAAAGUUAUCACUGUGUGCAACGGAGGAGCGUGCAUUGAAGGAGCGAGCAAAGACCUACACGUUAAAUUGAAGGAGAACCGCCAAAGGAGCCUAACGCACUGAUGAAACGGAGGAGGAGCCCUAACGAACUGAUGAACAGAGGAGAAGGAGCCCUAACACUGAUGAAACAGAGGAGAAGAGCCCUAACCACAGAUGAAACGGAGGAGCAACGCGAAUGAAACGGAGGAGGAGCACGAAUGAAACUGAGAAGGAGCCCUACGCAGUGAUGAAGUGAACGUCAAAUAUCAAGAGUAGUCCUCCGCGCGAAUACGAAAAUUUUUUAAUCCUCAUAGAUAGCAUCUUUUUAAGAAAUCGCUAUCUAUUAAUAUAUUUUAAAUUAUUAAUUAAAAAUAAUAAUAUUAAAUAGUUAUAGAUAGCGUUUAUUUAAAAAAACACUAUAUAUUGUCAUGGUUAUAGAUAGCGCUUAUUUAAGAAAACGUUAUCUAUAGUUCUGCACAUGAAUAGAUAGCGCUUUUUCAAAUAAGCGCUAUCUAUUGAGCGCUAUCUAUAACCAAUUUUGUAGUAGUGUCAUAAAUUUACUACAAAAUCAAGUGGUAUUUAUUAUUUAUAUGUUCCCAAAUAUCUUUAUAUGAUUAAUCAUGAGUUGAAAAUCAAGUUAUUGGUAGUUGUUGUUAAAGAAACCAUAUUUUUUUACCUUAAUAUGGUAAGCACUGAAAAUAAUUUGUUUUCAUUUCUUUAUAACAUGUUAUUCUAAUCAUAUUUCUUUUAGGAGAAAGAAUUGGUUCAUUCAAUGAUGAAUUUUUCAAGAAAACUCAUUUAUAAUAAGAUAGGAGUCCCUUUGUAGAUGGAUGUUAUAUGCCAACACAUAUGAGUUUAAUAUUUUUUUAUGUUAUUUAUUUUAUUAUAAUAUGUAAUAUAUAUAUAUAUAUAUAUAUAUAUAUAUAUAUAUAUAUAUAUAAUGUAAUUUAUAUUAUUGAAUAACAAGGAAUUUGAGAAUAAAUUUAUGCAAAUUAGAUCAAAGAGUAAAUCUUAUGUUAAACAAACAUAAUUAAUCAUUCUAUUAGAGCUUAGGAAACAGAGAGAAUAAGGACUAAAAAGUUUGAUUUUUACUACAAACACACAAGAAAAGGGUUAAAUAUAUGAGGUUGGAAAGCACACGUAUACGUUCAAAUAUGGGGAUAAACUCACAUAUAUUCACAUUAAUAAUAAAUAAGAAAAUUAAGCGAGUAUAUAAAAGUGGCAAAAUGGCAAGCCUACCGUAUUUUGGCAUGCCAUGCCAUUAGUACUCAAAACAUGGGAUGUAACGAGCUAAAAAUCAUAAUCUAUCUUGUCAAAGGGUUGACUCACCAACUUUUAAAAUAAAAAAUUGCUUAUCUUUUAAAAUUUUAUUUUUCUAAAUUUUAUAUUUAUUAUUUUUUUAUGUAUUUUUUAGAUAUUAAAAACACACUAAGUAUAUUUUUUACCUCUUAAUUGAUUAAUUAAUAUCAAAUAAAUUGAAAUAAUUUUUAUUUUUACAUAUUAAAUUAUUCUAUUAUAAUUAAUAAUUAAAUUUAAUUUGUAAAUUUUAAUAAUUUAAAGGAUUAAAUAAGUUUUAAGUAUCUAAACUUUAAAUGAAAUUUGUGUUUUAAGGUUUGUUUCUCAAACUUAAAAAAUUAAUGAAUAUAAUCCUGUAAUUCAACUGUGAUAAAUUUUUAUACAUGUCAGACAACUUUUAAGACUAAUGUAUAAAUUGAUUAUAUUAUUUAAAAUAUUCUAGUUCAAUUAUGAUUCUAUAACGAUGUUUGAUUAAGUAAAAAAUAUUAUGUAUCAUUUCAUUUAUAGUUUAAAAAUUAAGAUGUAUCAAUCUUUCAAAUAAAAACAAAUUUUAAUUUCACAGGACUAAAAAUAUAUUAAAUUUCAAUUUAAAUUAAAAAAUUAUUUUGUAUUUACAUUUUCAAGUAAUGUAAUAAAAAUAAUAACUUUUAAAUUAAUUUUUAUUUUAGAAUAAAACUAGCUUACAUGUUAAUCUGUCCUAUCAUAUUUCUUGUCUACCAAUUCGAUACUGACAAAAGAAUUGACUAAUUAAAAUUUUCAGCACAGCUUGUCAUACAAGCAGCCUAACGCUGUUUCCUUUUUAAUGGAUUUGAGGAAGAUGAUCUGGGAGAGAUUUGAGUAAAUUUAAGAAUAAUUCUUUUGUUGUUUUUUUGAAUAGAUUUGUGGGUAAUUGAGAGUGGAUUUGAGGGUAAAGUUUGUGAGAAUUAGUGUAGGAUUUGAUUGAUGUGAUAGAAUUAAAAAAUUAGUUUAAUUGGUAGAAAUGAAAGAUUACCAAAAUACCCCUAGUUAUUUUAGUAAUAUAAAAUGUUAUUUUUUAAUGUAUAUUUAAAUGUAUAAAUGUUAAUAAAGAAAUGAAAUUAAUUAAUAAUAAGUCAAAUUAAUUUUUAAAAUAUUAAAAAAAUUAUAAUAUAGUAAAAUAAUUUUUUUUUUAAAUGUGGUAUUUGUUUGUAAUAUAAUUUCUUACCGAAUACAAUCAAUUUAUUUGUCUACGAAAGUGAAAUUCAUUCAUUUUAAACAAACAUAUAAUUAAAAGGAGUUAUUAUAUUACAUGAUCUAAAAAAAAGUCCCAACAUAAUAACAUACAAUUAUAUUAUUAAUAGUUCAUGAUGACCUUGCUUCAAUGGGGUACGUUGCAAUGCAUUGAAACGAUAUUGUUGCGGCAUCCCUAUUAGACGUCUUGUAUGGGAUGGAUGCGAAGAUAAAAAGUCGAAGCAUUGUGUGAAUAAAUUUUGAUCUUCAAUGUUCAUAGUCUGUAGUAAGUUUUGAAUUUCUUCUGUUGUUGGAUUAGGUCGUUUAAUACUAGCAUUUAAUAGGGAAUUUUGACGCUCCAUGACCUGUGUUUGUCGUUCAAUAACAGCAUAUAGUCUUCUUCCUUCAUUAAUUAUUUCUUGCAGUUCAUCUAUGAUUUCAUCUAUGAUUCGAGAAUCCAUCUGUUUUGCAUUUAAUUUCAUUGAGCAAUAAAUAAAAGUAUGAAAAUUCAUGUCAAAGAUAAUAACAUUCAAAAAUAGGUAAUGUAGAAGUCUUCAAACAAAUAAGUGAAUUAACACAUUUAAGUCAUGUAAUGCAUUCUGAGUAUACUAAUGAACUUAAUCAUCUAAAUGGUGAAGAAUUAAAUUAACAUUGUGAUUAAGGUGAGCAAUUGUUGAUUCAUGUCAAGGGAUAGGUUUGCCAAGUUAUCUUAAAUACGUUCAACCCGCACUUGCAUUUGUUCCAUACCCUGCAUUUUGUGUUGCAUGUCUUGUACCCUCUCCUGCACUUGCACAUAAUAGAAAAUGGUGUUCUUCUCGCCACGAAAAGCAUGAACGACAACACCUUCAGCGCCUCAGACAACAACAACAUGCAGUUCAUCUGAAACAUUUUUCAACCAUUCAAAGUGGACAAAGAAAUCACUAUGUUUAGUGCACAUCUGAAUGACUAACAUCCUUCGUAGCUUACUAAAUACUUGUAGCUGACCAGAUGCACCUUAUGCUUAUAAAAACCUGCAACACAUACAAAUGGUUAGGCUGCUGCAAAAUAAAACCAAAUGUUCAAGUCCCUAUUACUCUCGGGCUACUCUUGACAUCAUUGCAAAAGGUUGCCUUAAAACUCCACACAAUCGUCGUCCUCCUCCUCUCCACCUCCAUCCCCAUCAACCUGUCCUCCACCGCACACACCUUUGUCGUCUUCUUCUCCAUGCCACACAUCUGCAUCAUCUACCUCCAUGCGAAUCGAAGAACAUGAUAAACGCAUCACCCAUGCACGAAGCUUAAGGCACUUCUCCUAAGUUAGCUGUGUUGACAGAGUAAGGAAGGAAGGUACGACCAACCGGUGAAUGCAACCGGAAACAACCCAUCGCUACAAUCGAAAGAAGCGGAUAGGAAAACGACAGCUUGAAACCGGAUACGCAAAGUUGUAUCCGAAUACCCUUCCUAAGCAAAAUCUCCACACAAAUUGGAUCCGGAUACAGGAAGAGUGUAUCCGAAUACCCAGCGCAAAAUUUUUGAAAAACCUCUAUCCGUGUACGCUGAAUCUGCAAUGGAAUACAUGAACAUGUGCAAAGACAGAAAGAGAACUCUUCGCGCAAAGCUCGUCAAAGACCACACACUCUCAAACUUCUUUCACUCUAUCUAAACACACAACCAUCGGUUUUAAUACACACACCAAACUUAUACAUUAACACACUCUUAUUAAUGGUCUUCAUGGUCAGACCUUCUUUUUCAAAUUCAAAUAGCAGGCUUCUCUCCUUUGCUUUGUAGUGAAUGGUUGUAUCAACAGGGAAUCUCUCCAGCGAAUCUCCCCAGCUACUUACACUGUGCACCAGCUACUUACAAUGUGCAAUGGACUGAAAAGAGAGCUGCAAAGGCCGAAUAAGCAUGGCCAGAACACUGCUUUCUGGAAAAUUACAUGGGCAAUGGGAAAAGAAUAUUGUUCUCGUGAAAGUUCUCGUGAAAGAACAGUGCAUGCAUUGUGUUUUUUACAAUGGAUUUUGGUUUUUUAAUAUUAACUUUAAUAUUAGAGUUUUUUAUUAUUAUAAGGGGUUGGACAUUCAGUUGAAAUUUUGAAGAAUGACACAGGACAUAUAGGUCUUUUACAUAUAAAUCAGCGCAAAUCUUUGCAUUUUGGAGAGAUGGUCGAAACAGUGUAAUAUACCCAAAAUCCAUUCAAACAAUCGCUUUUCCAUCGUCUCAAAUCACUACAAGGAAACAGGAUUUCAAAAUCAAUCUUCGCUCACAAAUUCGCUUGAACAGUACAAUCUGUUCAAGCGAACACAACAUAAGUUUUAAUUUUUUUUUAUUAAUUAUAAUAUUGUUUUAUCCUAUAUGAGCCUCUUAUAAUAUUAGUUGAUAACAAAUCACCCCACUUUACCAAGUAAAAGAAAUUUAACAAGUAAUUUAUAUUUAUCAACAUAAUGUCUGUGGAAUUUUGAAUUGAUUUUUUUUAAAUAUUCAUUUAUUCUCUUUACGCGGUCGGUUAGUUCUUUCGGCAUGUAGAAAACGCCAAAUUUUUAGCUUAUCUAGUUUAUUUCCACUAAUGGAUACGUUCAAAAAGCAAAUGAUGAAUAUAAUGCAGUAGCAAUAAUUACACGGAGAAUGUUUGAAUUAAGACUAAGAAAGAUAUCAGCACUGAUUCUGUUUACAUUGUCGUGGUGCUAGUUUUGUGUCUGUACAUCUAAGAUAAAAAGAAAAGUAAUAACACAUGACACAUUUUUACAUUUUUUAUACAUAAUAUAAAAAUAAAAUAGUUUAAAAAAUAUAAAGUUUUUGUAAUUUUUUAUAAAAGAAGAGAGUAAAAGGUAAAUAAAAAUAAUAUUAAAUAAAUGUAAAAAAUUUAUGUCUGUCAAAAUCAUUUCUUUAAAAAGAAUUUGUGAAACAAUCGUUAAUUGUUUUCAACUUCUUGAAACAUAUUUUUUUUUUUAAAUCAACUCAUUUUCCAAAAGAAAACUCUUUUUCGUUUAUAAAAAAGUAUAUAUAGCUUUGUCUAUAUUUUUCAUUACCGUGAAUGAAUAUUUUUCAAGUAUUUUGUCGGCUACGUAUCCUUAAUAAUUGAGUUUCUGAUCAUGCAAUGGCAAAGAAAUUAUAGAAGAAAUCGUCUUCUAUCGGUAAGAAUUUUAAUGUAGAAAGUUCGGAUAAAAUACACAAUAUCAACUAAAACUUUUAUACGUCAUACUGAUCUUACAAAUAUCUUAGGUGAAACUAUGGAAAUGUGGGAAGAUUUUAAUAGUAGCUUAUAUGGUUGAGAUUGAUUUUUUUUUUUUUUUUGUUACUUAGAAGAAAAUACUCAUGAAAACUUUAUGACACUAAAGUUAAGAAGGGAGUUGAAAUUUUUAUGAAUUUAAUAAUAAAUAUAAGUGAUUAUUGAAUAAAUAUUCUUUAGAUAAUAUUAAUUAUAUUUAUAGACAAUAAAUCUAUAUUAUUAUUGGACUAAUACUUACUUUAAAAAUAUAAUAGCAACAUAAUAAUAUCUCAUAAAUAAUAACCAUAUUAUCAAACCCUUAAUAUUAAUUAUUAUAUUUCGAAUGUUUGAACUGUUCUAAAAUUAAAAAACUUAAUAGAUUUUGUUAGAUUGUAUUUUUUCAGUAUGUCUAUUAAACCAAGUGAGAACAUAUAUAAAUAUGAAAGUAUAUAAAUAUUUAAUUUGAUAAUGCCAAAAUAAGUAAACUGAGUAUACUGAUUUUGGGACUUUCUUUUUUUCUUCUUAACUUUUAAUAAGGAUGAAAAGAGUCUUAAGUGACACUUUAAUUAACCUAAAAUUUUGUUAAUUUUAAUUAUAUAAAAUGAGAAGAGAGUAAUUGUUUUCUUCAUAAUUGCAUUAAAUUCAUUAACCGAUUUUGUAUUUGACGUAAGGUCGAGUAAUUAUUCCUGAUACGCUAAUUAGUGUCUGUGAUCUAAUCCAAUGCCAACACCACCAACAUGUUAGAUCUCUAAAAUAAUUUUCAUUUAUCUAUCUAGACGUGAAUACAUGAACAUAAGUUAUAAAAGGUAAUAAUUUUGUAUUUUUGUUUUCAAAUGAAAAUUAAAAGAAGUUUUAUCAGAACCAAAUUUCAAAUUUUAACAUAAUAAUAAAUAAUAUUUUUUGUAAAACAAAAAAUAACAACAUUGCAUUCAUAUAUUAAUUAUAUUUGAUUUCACCAUUGACGUGGCAGAAUCUUCACUUGCCGAAGCUUUGUCUGAUCUCAUUAAGAAUCAAACGAAAGAAACUUGAGAAGUUCUGGAUUUUGCUCAAAAUGCACCAUGUCACGCGAAGUCAAGGUUAUCCAUGCCUCCAUGCCAUCACCAACCUUAGUACCCAUCAAAAUCACCACGUUUUUUAUAGGAACUCCGAUAGUGCGCACGUAACUUGGUUUUCCACAUCCGAAAUCCGUUUCAUAGAACCCAAAUCUCAUCCAACUGCUAAAGCUGAAACAUGGAACACCCUUUUCUGCGGCCAUUCUUCUUGCUUCCUUCAAAGACUCCAUCACCUUAUAAAAUUCAUCACCCUGAAGCUUACUCACAUAAUUUCCAUCAAUUUUUCUUAUCGUUUCCCUCACUCUCUCGCACAAAUCACCAAGCCUCACUUCUCCUUCCACCUCUACCACCGGAGACACUGCUUGUUGCCACAGAUUUCCCGUCGAAUGCUCCGACAGCGUUUGGGCCAUUCUGCUGCGAAUAUUCACCGCGUGGGAUACCAUAGAUGCCGGAAUUUUUCCUUCCUCUGAACUUGCUUUCGCCGCUUCCAGUGAUGAUUUCCAUAUCAGUGCUGUCACGGCUUCCACACUAGUGGGAGUGAAAUCGAAGCUCCCCAGCUUUUGCUUCAGUCUGGAUAUGUUCGUCCUGUUGAACACAAACCUCUUUGUGGCAAUGCUUUUUUGGCCCAUCAUGCCACCAAUCAAGUCCAUUUCUAUCUUCCUCGGCGGAAAAACCUGUGCGCCUUCUUCCAUUUGUGGUAGUAUCGGUUUGUUGCCUCUGCAAAAAUUAAAAUUAAUCACACAAUAUAUUAUAAAAUAAACAUUCAAAUCUCGAGAACUGGGUAUAUAAGUUUAUAAAAUGAGUAGAAUGAUUGGAAUAUGUGACCUUUAUACCUUGAUGUUGCAGCCCAAGCAGUGAGGAAGGAUGCUGCUGUGGAAGCAUCAGCGAUUUUGUGUGAGAAGCAGACGCCAAGAGCAAAACCUCCACACGUGAAGUGGUUGAACUGAACUGCCAUGUUCCCAGUGAGAGUUUCCCUUGCAGGGUUGUAUGGAUCGCAUGGGAAAAGGUGGUUGAUAUGGUGAAGGUCAGGGUUUUUAAGAAGGCUUGAGAGUUCCAUGGGGACUGUACAGUCGGUGAAAACAACGCCCUCAUCGUUGCACUCAACGGUUGAGUUGUCUCUGAGGGUUCCGCAGAAGGGGUAAUAGAGAGUGAGGACUUGUGAUAAAGAAGCCUUUAAUUUAUGAGAUACUGGUUUGUUGUGUGUGGCAUCGGAAGCAGAGUAAAAGAGGAGAAUAGGAACGUAAAAUGGAGGAGCCAAUUGAUCGAGGAGAGAGAGUUUGAAAAACUUAUUGGAUGUUGGAGAAGAUGGCUUUAUAGUUUCCUUAGAUACAAUCUCAGCUUUCACUUCCAUUUCUCACAAAGAGUUGCUAUGUAUAAUGACUCUCUCAAACUAAUUCUUGCCUUUAUAUAGCCAAAAAUCUUGCCUUCAUCAUGAAUUUUUAAGAGCAAUAAUGCUCACGAGAGUCUGAAUCUAAGAUAUGAAAUCGUGCACGUUAGAAUAUUAUAUUAGGAAAUUAUGAUAAAUAUUAUGAUAUAAUAAAAUAAUAAUUUAAAAGCCGUGUACUGGCUGGAUAAAAAUAUAUCAAGAUAUAUAUAAAUGACCCUAGAAUAUAAGAAAUGUGUAUAAGAUAAUACCUAGGUUAGUCAGUAUCCAAGAUUCAUCGGUUUAUUCAUUAUAGCAGCGCUAGUCAAUACUAGGUCAGGUUAAAAGAUGUUAGGCCACAAUUAGGUUAGCAUUUAAGUUAUUGGGCUAAUAAUUCAGCAGAGAAUAAAAUGAUCAACGAUAUCUAAUUAAAGAUAUUGAUAAAGUUGUUUAUUUGCAACAACUAUUUAUGAGAAACCGACCGGAUUUUAAGAUAAAUUUGUUUCAGGUAAGUCUAUUUAUAUUUUAUUAGGCUUGUGAUAACUUAUAAAUACAGGGUCAAGGCUAAAAGUCAGUUACGCUUCACUCACACUCGAAAAUACUCUACAGUGAUAGCAAAGUCACUUUCUAAAGAGCAAAAACUCUACAACCUACGCCUAACUUGAGCGUUGGAGUGCCUUUUGCAGGUACAUCCUCCCUCUGCUGGUGAAGGAGUGCGAGCGGUGCAAGCUGAAGGAGCACAAAUGACACCAUCGAAGGAGAACGAGCGGUACAGGCUGGAGGAGAGCGUGUGGCUCCAACGAAGGGUGAGCGAACAGUCUACACUGUGGAGAAGUAAGCGUAUCAAGCGUCCAGAGGUAGCAAAGACAAGUCAGCGAGGUUAGUCUCUCAGUCCCACACAUCCAUACUGAAACAUUUUGGCGCCCACCGUGGGGCCUAAGAUUUGAAGACACCCAAUGGUGACCACAAGAAACAUGGAAGAAAACAACACCAUAGAUUUGAUCAGAGAGUUACAAGACCAGAUAGAGGCGCAAGCAAUGACCAUACAAGAACAGUAGGAGACGCAGCGUAAACAAGCAGAAGAAAUUGCGGCAUUAAAGGAACAACGACCCCCACCCAAAGUAUCCGCUUCAAACAGGGAUAAUGAGGGUAGUCAUAAUGGGGGGCGAUUUGUCAAUACCAAACCUGGCGGUAGGGGAAGAAGGGAACCCACACUCCUUCAAAUCAUUUGACCUACCAAUCUAGUGCCGUUUACGGAAACCAUCAUGCAAACUCUUAUGCCGGAGAAGCCUCCUCCAACAUUAGAAAGAUAUGACAGCUUGGCGGACCCAAAUAACCACCUUAGAAACUUCACUGAUGCGAUGACAUUCUACAUAGUUAGUGACCCAGUCAUAUACAGAGCCUUCUCCUUGUCUUUAAGGAAUGAAGCAUCAGAAUGGUAUUAUACCCUCCCUCCGAACACGGUAAGUUGUUUUGCAACAAUGGAAACUCUUUUUAGAAGGCAGUACGCCGCCAAUCGAAGGCAAGAGAUGACACCAGCAGAACUGGUAAACACCAAGCAUGAGAAGGAUGAAACCCUAAAAUCAUUCAUGCAGAGGUACAAUGAGGUCGCACGACGAGUGAAAGAUGCGAAUCACACUUUCAUCAUUAACAAUUUGCCCACAUGUUUAAAAUGAGGAUAUUUUGUUGAACAACUAUAUGCCGAACCACCAAAAUCUAUGGAAGAGCUCUAGGAAAAUAUUGUUAAAUUUAUUUGUAUUGAGGACAUGAGGAACUUAAGGAAAAAGCAUUAACAUGAAGUCCCCGCCAAUGGAAAUAAAAAGGAGGCGAAGCGAUCCUCUAACGGCAAUAAGGUGACAGGCCUCCCCGAAAGGAGUUAGCUUGGACACCCAAGUACGAUCAUUACACAGCUCUUAACGCACCCAGGGCAAGAGUACUUGAAGAAGCCCUACACAUCGAACUCCUCACGGUCCGAAGGAAAUCCUCACCAAAAAAUGUCGACGAAAGUAGAAGUUGUCAUUUUCACCAAAAUCAUGGUAAUAAAAAGAGGACUACACCACAGUGAAAGAUGAGAUAAAAAGGCUUGUUCGUGCGAGCUACCUUCAAAAAUACGUGAAGGAAGAAGCAGCCAGAGCAAGAUCCCCCCAAAGGAAGAACUUCGCGCAGAAGUCUUGAGCGGCCAUGUCAGAAACACAAUAGGCGUAGGCGACGCUCCCGAAGCCGCACUCGUGAUCUUGAGUGAGAAAAGUUGGUCCGGGGAUGAAUCGAUACCAUAUCUGGAGGCUCCGUUGGAGAGGGGGCAUCAUCCUCUGCUCGCAAGAGACAUUUGAGGAGCUUAAAAACUGUUCACAUGGUAGAUCAUCAACCUCGAUCUAUGUCAGACAUUACUUUUACCGAUGCAGAUUUUCACGCCCCAACCCUGAUCAGGAUGAUCCCAUGGUCAUCACCACCGAGAUAACACGAUAUGAUGUCAAUAAUGUUCAUUAGAAUGGACAAUAGUGUUGGAAAUUAGGUAGGCUUCGUUUUUACACCAAGAGGGGGUGAAUUGGUGAUGUUUCAGAAACAAAAUCUUUUCGCAAUCUUUUAUCAAAAGAACAAAGCUUUUUAAACUUUCUUGAAAUGCAAGUAAUGAAAAUUUAUAUGCAGCAGAAAAACGUAGUUGACUGCGUGAAAAGUAAAGUCGACUGGAAUUAAAGAGUGCAGGGAUAGAGAAAAUCAAACGCUGAUUAUUAUACUGGUUCGGCCAACAAUGCCUACAUCCAGUGUCCUUCCAACCCAGGAAGCAAACGCACUAUAAUGGUUGUAGUUUUUACAUCAAGGAAUUUAUAGAAGACCUCCACGUCAAAAAUAUAAAUCUCCUCUCUAACCAAACACCAAAAUAUAGCUACAAUAACAAAAACAAGACUUGUAGCAAGAAUCCCCUCUUCUGCAUUUUGAACACCACGUCGAACAAUCCUCAACGUGAAACCCCUAUAUCACAACAGGUCCAAUUCUAGCAGUCUUCACAGGAUGCCAAGCCUUAACAAGUGCAGCAGUCUUCAAAGGAUGUCAAGCCUGAAGCGAUCAACCCAGAAGCACCUUCUUUGUGUAGUAUUUGGUCAGACAAGGAGUGCGCAAGCUAUCUCCCUUUGAAUCUCCCUCAAGAAAGAUCACCACCGUGUUCUUGGAGAAUUCUUAGAGUUGUUAUCACAAAGAAUUUAAUCUGAAACAAGAAUGAAAAUGUUAGUUCCUCAAAAGUCUCUGAACAAUUCGCAUUCAGUCAAUUUAUAGUUUUUUGUCUAUCAGAUUGUUAUUCAGUCGAAUAGGAUACUAAUUCAGUCGACUGUAUUAUUGCAGUUAUAACAGACAGUCAACACAGUAGCCUAUGGUCAACAAAUAAUAGAACUCAUUUAAUACAGUUGACCAAGUAAUCAAUGCUCAACUAACUUUUAAAAAUAUAGUCGUUGGAGCUCAAGAGCAUAACAAAAUUCCAAAAUAAACAGCAGAUACAAUCGAAUAUGUAAAAUCCAAUGUCGACUAACACAUGUAAAAACACUUUGAAAUUCUUUUCAACUCAAAACAUCACAGAGCACUGAUUCUCAAAAUCUGUACAAAGAUUUUUACAUAGUCGAAUCCAUUAAUAAUGUAGUCGGUUAUACUAUCGCUUUGUCACACAGUUAUAAGUUCACGACAGUGCUUGUGGUUAUUCUCUUUAAGAAUGUGCAAUAAAAUAUAUGUAAUAAAGUAUUUCACAUUGCACAUAAGCAUGUAAGCAUGUUCCACAAAUAUAUCAAUCAAUCAACAUAGGAACAUACAAUAUAGUACAUCAAACAUUUUCAGCAGAUAUAACAAUCAAUUCAGCAUAAGAACAUGUAAUGCAAUAACAUGUGUACUGUUAUUAAGCAAUGUGUUGUCAUCAUAAAAAACUAGAGUGAUAUAGAGUGUGUGUUGUCAACAAUCUCAACAAUCUCUCCCUUUUUUGAUGAUGCACAACCAUGAUUAAUAACCAGCCAUGUUUGUACAGUUCAAUACAAAACAAAGUAAUAACAUAUAGCAAAAGAAAGUUUAACACAGUUCAAUUACUUUGCAUUUAAACCAAUAACAACCAAAUAUCAAGCAGAUGAUGUAAGAGACAGAAUAAUCAAGUGGCCAUAGCCAUUUGGCACGUAAGCUCCAUGGCAAUAUCGGCCAUUUGGUUCUCGGUCAUGCCUUCAACCACCUUUUUCUCGGCAUCAUCCAGGUUGAAAUCAAUCUUGUGACCCAGGUUGAAGGUCGGGCCCCACAUGCCACUUGGAAUAGGGCAAUCAAUCGGAUCUUGGGAAUUUUUCCCUUUCUUUGAAGCAUUUGGCAUAAUAGCUUGUUGUCUUCCCUUACGCUUCCUUACAAAUGGACGAUCUUCAUUGACAGUCACGUCAGGGGAAGGUGGUCGGUCGAUCUACGGAGGAAUAACGACCCUUUCCCUCGAGGUACCUUCAAUAGUCCUCGGAGCAAUAUGCGUAGGGACGGGAGCGUCGCUCGGUUUAGGAAAGGAGGACUCUCCAUGACUCUCUUUCUCGUUCAUAAUCUUGAACGAGUCCUGAAUGGGACCUUUUCUUCCAAUCAUAUAUGCAAAUAAGUUGCAUUAUCCACAUAUCAGUCACAGUUAUAAAAUGGCUAGGAAAAUCAAUAAAGGGAACAUACCAAACACCCUUGAGUCAAAGUCAUCAUGCUCAAGGAAAUUUAUAAUCCUCUAGGAAGAAAAGGGGUGAGGCAGUACAGUCAAAACAUUCAACACUUCCAUCUCGUCAAUGGUCAUUUUUUGUUCUAACCAGGAAAUGAACUUAAGAGGAUCUUGGGUCCAAUAAAGGGGAAACUUAGGGCUAUUAUCCUCAUUUAAAAAGAAGGGGCGUCCUACGUCGGUAAUUAUUACCUUAAAAAAUUUGUCAUUAAAGAUUUUAAAGGAUUUUGCAUAUAGCUCUAGAAAAGCAUUCCCAGGUUCAAAAAUUAAUGAAACCCAACCUCUCUUUGCAACUGAAUGGGUUUUAUAGAAAUACAAGAAAAAGGUUGGAGUCAAUUUAAUAGCCAAAACCUGGCACAAGGCGGCAAAAGCCUGGAUAUAUCCCCAACUAUUCGGAUGUAACUAAGAAGGGCCAACGUUUAGUGUUUUCAACACAUCCAUUUGGAAUACGCUAUAAGGCAGCCUAAGGUACAUAUCAUAGAGUAAACAUAAGUAAACAUAGCAGAAAUUAGCAGCUGAGUUCUCUUUACCAUGAAAAAAACUUUCAUUCUCUCUGCAAGCAUUCAGUUUUAUACACGAAUUAUAACCUAGGGUCCUGAGGAUGCAACUAUUCUCUACCUAAUCCUGUAAUACGGGUUUGCUAUUAAAUAAAUUAUGAAAAUUGCUAACAUCGCAGGAAGCCCAGUCGUAGCUUCUAACCGCUAACAGUGGGAGACGAUGAAGAUGGAUCUUCUACUUUAGGGUUCUCAGUGGCGACAUUGUUGGUACCAGGGGGGUAUGGUUCGAAGAGUAUAACACAGCGGAAUAAAACUAAGAGUAGCGUAUAAGCGUGUUCGGUCACCUUUUUAAAACAAGUUGGUCCUUUUUCGAAAAACAAUUUUCUUUCAGAAAAUUUAUCGAACAGUUAAUAUGCGUAAAAUGAAAUGAGUGUAGGGAAUAGAAAAAUCACACAAGUAUUUUUAUACUGGUUCGAUUCAACAGAAUCUACGUCCAGCCGUUAAUCACUAUAAAUAGUGAUUAACAAUUCCACUAAAAAUAUGUUUCUCAUAUUACAAUUAUAGUGAAUGAAAGACAGCUAAAUAAACCUUCCUUCAACGAACGAAUUGGAAGAAGAACACUCUACCAACUCGAAGAGAACCGCUCCGACAAUCGACCAACGAUUCGCGAGCUUCUCCUAUUCACGAGACCAGACAGAGCACCUUGCUAACUCGAAGAGAUCCUGCUCCGACUAUCGACACACGAUACGCGAGCCUCUCUUAUUCACGAGACCAAGCAAGGGAACUUUGAACAAAGCUUCUGAGAACUUUCCUCUGACAAACAGUGUUCUACUUAGCUAUCAGUUCAAAAACGUUGCCUCUAAAAUUUAUAGAAGCCAAAUAUAUAGCCAAUUGCAUUGAAUGCCAAAGGUCAGGUCCCAACUGCCACGAAUAAUCGAUUAUUAUAAGUGAUAAUCGAUUAUUCAAGUCCGUUACAGGUUUUUCAAAAAGUGAUAAUCAAUUAUAUGAAGUGAUAAUCGAUUAUUCCUGAAUGACUUGUGAUAAUCGAUUAUUGCUUUCCCAUAAUCGAUUAUUCCAGUAGAAAAUACAAGUGAUAAUUGAUUAUUGCUUGUCCAUAAUCGAUUAUUGCAAUUAAAAAUGCAAGUUUUACAAAGUUUAUAAGACUUUCCUACUACAUUUAAUUUCUACAAAUUGCUUUUAAAUAAUUUUAAACUCCUCUUCAACUAAGACUUCUUGCAGCAUCAUGAAAACAAUUGUCUUCAAGAUUUACCAAUACUCCUUAUUGGUAACAAUCUCCCCCUUUUUUAUGAUGAUAAAAAAUUCAAUGUUAAAAGCAAAUUUGGCUUACCUGCAAAACAUACAAGCUAACAGACAACAAUAAAGUUAUAAAUACUUGCAUCAAUUUAUAUUAUACUUCUCCCCUUAAAAAUAUAUUUCUUCCCCUUUAUGAUCAUAAGCAAAAAGAUUAUAAAGCUCCCCCUUAAUGUGAUGUCCCCCUUAAUUAAACAAUGUAUGCAUAAAGACAAGAUAAAAGAUCGUUUAUUCAUUAACAUAAAGGAUUACAUUUUUAUCAUAAGGAGCAUCAAGAGGGUUCAGAGAUAAAAGUAAAAUCAAUCAAGCAACAAAGCACAUGAACAUAUAAACCUAAAUCUAAAAUUCAGGGCUUUGGGAUCUCUCAGAUGGUUGAAGGUUGAGAUGAUUUUCAAUAUUUCCUAGGCGAACAUCAAUUUCAUGAAAUUGAUCAAGCACUUAAUCUUCACGAGCUUGCUGCCACUCAUAAAUUUGAUCAAAGUUCUUUGGGCAAGACUUACAUCCUCCAAUUGCUUAGACAAAUUUAAGAAAGUGUUCUUCCAUGAAAAUUGUAUGAUAAUCGAUUAUAGAUGAAGAUAAUCGAUUAUCUUCUCAUAAGUGUCCAGAUGUGGGUUUGAGUAAGAAUAAUCGAUUAUUCUAUGGGAUAAUCGAUUAUCUGCGGUUACAGACUUUGCCAAAGACAAAAAUAAUCGAUUAUUAUCCUAUGAUAAUCAAUUAAUAACGCUAAACUUACGAAAAAUGGGAAAAUUUCAUAACUCUUGAGCCUAAGACAUAUCUAACACUCCCAACUCUCUCUUAAGUUCAUAGAAUCUAGGCACCCCCUUAAAUGGCUCUCAUCCUUAACAAAAGAAAGAUUAAUUUAUAAAGUUUGAUCUUUUAUAAAAUGAGAGGCAAAUACAUGAUGAAAUACCAAAGUAUAGAUGAAUAACCAGAUAUCUAACAGCCUUAUAUAUCUCCCCCUCACAUGGGUACCAAGUAUCACAAUAUCAUGUCAUAAGCUGUCAAACAAAAAUUUCUCUUAAACUCAAAAGCAGAUUUUGAAAAAUAUUUUAAGAUUUGUUCAGUCCAAAACAAUGAAGAGAUACUUAAAAGCCAAUUCAGAUUUGUAUUUGCAAUUUCAAACAAGUUUCAAUGAUUCUUAGUAAAUCAAAUUCAGCUUUUAGCAUACUCAAUUUACCCAUGAAAUCAACAAUCAUUUAUCAAAUAAUUAAGAUGUUUAUGAUUCAGCUACUAAUUUAUAAAGUACAAUGAACACAACAGUAGCUUCAAUGAAUAUAAUCACAUCACACCUGCUCCAAGUUUAUCAUGAAGACUUUAUUGUUAGUACAAUUUACUCAAAGCUAACUUUGACAACACUAUGUAUAACUUCCCAAACAACAACUAUAAUUCAUGUAUUUUCAUAUCCCAAUCUGCUCAAUCUCAUGAUUUCAGUUGUGCAUAUCAAAACAACAUAUACAACAAUUCAAACAAUAUGCAGUAAUCAGAUUUAAUUCAAUAGAAUUUUUUUUAUCUCGGUCCAAAGAAUUUUAACCACCAACUUUAUCAACUACUUCAGGCUUCUCUUAAGAAACUUAAAGCACACAAAUCUUUAUUUCAAGUUUCAGAAACCAAAAAAAAAUUCUCAGACAAGAUUUGUUAGGCUAAGCAAUUAGAAUUUUGAGACAAAAUAAGACAACUGGAAAUUAUCAAUCAAGAAGCUAUGAGACAUUUAAGAAAUAGUCAAAUUUGGGUGCAUCAGUUUUCAUAUUUAAGCUUGCGUUGGUACCUCAGCCUUUUAGAAGGAUUUAAAAGUUUCUUUUGAAUAAUUUAUUUUAGAUAUCUCACAAGUACCUAACUUUUGCUGCAGGAUUACUCAAAUGUAAGUACAUCAUACAUACUUCAGGAUUAAGCAAUUGAACCAACAACUUAUUAUCAACAAAAGAUUUAAAAAUAUGAUGGUAUGAAGAGUGAAAAUACCCAAGGCUAUGAAAACACAAAAUUCUUUUGUUAUGAACAUGUUUAAAUCAGAGAAAUGAACUUGCGAUCACAACUGAUUGAUGUUAAACAACAGUGUUUCUAAAAUUUACUUAUCCAGAUCCAAUUAUGUGUCAAUUUUAAAUAUAAUGAAUCAAAUAACUUUUAGACUCCUAAUUGGUCUCAAAAACAAUUUUGAAAGCUUGAAUAAGACAAUAUGAAAUUAUUGCAAGAUGUUCAGCAAUUAACUAGUGGAAAAUCAAAAUUUUAAAAACUGAAAAAUUUACUCAACCAAGGAAAUGCAGUUUUUGCCUAACUUCUUUUAAAAGACUAUUCCUUUCUAAAUUUCACACCAAAAUUUUAACACAAGAGCUGAUUUAGAUUUUAUCUUUCAACAAUUUUUUUUUAAACCAAAUAAUUUACAAUACAAUUAUGCAAAUUUGAUAUGUUCAUUUACUGCCUCCAAGCUCUUAAUGUGUAUAAUCAUAUCAUAUAUGGUAUGCAUUUGAACUUUUUAAAAGCAAAUCUCCGCAGAAAUAAUUUCAAAACAAAGAUGAUAAUUUAAUUUUCAAAAUGUCUUUAAUCAUCCAAAAAUGCCAAUAGAAACUAUCAACUAUCUCAUUCAAAUGAAUUUUUCAUUACUUUUGAUGUUUGGCAGAAAUUAUACCAAGGCUAACUUCAAAGUACUCAUGAAGUUAAAUACCAAACCAGUUAAGCACAAAUUCAAUUGACAAUUAAAAGCAAAGCACUGAAAUAACAAAGCACAUGACUAAUCAUACCAAAAGAUUAAAUUCAGCACAUGAAUGUCUCAAAUAGAUGAAUUUCACUGAUUAAAGUGUGUAAACAGACAAUAACACACCAUAGGAUGAAUGAAUCAGUGGUGGACAUAUCAUUCGCUCAAACAGACAUGAAUAUGACAGUAAUCAAAUAAUGGAAGAUAAAAAAGAAUACAAUACAACAACACAGUUUAAACAAUACUUAGCUCAAUCACUUUGUGCUCGAACCAAGGCUUUGGAUAUCACUUGAUGGAUUCACUUCCUGGCUUGGAGCAUCAAUUCCAAAAGUAGAAUAAUAUAAAGUUCUCUUCUCCUUUUGAAAAACUUAUUCUGCAAAACAAAGCAAUAUAGUUUUUGGUACCCAUAAUCUUAUUUGGGUCCUUGAGGUUAGAGACAUAUUACUUUGUGACAGGAAUCCAAGCAUAUUUCCCAUUUGGAACAUCAAAAUGUUUAAUGUUACAUUUGUUUGAAGUGUGCCCCUUUUUCAUGCAAUAGAAACAACAAACAUCAUGGACCUUGUUUUUCACAAAAGUCCCCUUCUCAACCCAAACUCUAAGGGUUCUUUUAAAUUGAGGUUUCCUAUGUUGACGCAUGUUUUUGUUUUUAACAUUUUUCUUUCUAAAACCAUUUUGACUAUGUGAAAUAGAUUUGAUGGCUUUAGCAAGCAAAUUUUCAAGAAUAUCUAGGUCAAACAUGUGACUUUUACAAGAUAGACACUCAUCAGGUUGAUUAUUUGCAUUAGAUUCAGAUAAUUUCAUUUCAAGAUUACUAAUUUUAUUUCUCAAAACAACUUCUUCAUCUAAUGCACUUUCAUAAUUAAUUUUCAAUUCCUUAAGCUCAUUUUUCAAUUUUUUAUGAUGCACAUCUAAUUUCUCAGAUUCAUUUAAUAAUUCAAGAAAAGCUUUUUGUUAAUCAAACUCACUAGUGCCAAGACUAGAGCAACUUACUUGGCUUGCAGUGUCGUCAGAAUUUGCUGUCAAACACAAGUUUGCUUCUUCAACAGAAUCACUUGAACUACAAGUGCUUGAUGCAGUAUCCUCCCAAGUAAUGUAGACCUUCUUCUUUUUGUGAGAUUUCUUUGCUUUUCUUUCUUUUCUUCUUUUGUUGCUUGAACAAUCAGCUUUUACAUGGCCUCUUUCACCACAUCCAUAACAUUUGAAGCUUGAUGCGGAGCCUUAAUUGUUCUCCUUCUUCUUCUUCUUCAAGAUUUGGCUUUGACUAUUUGCCAUUAAGCAUAUAUUUUCUUCCUCAUUAAAAUCGCUUGAGCUUGAGGAGUUUGAUGUAGAGCUUGAAUCACACUGUGUCAACUUAUCCACAUCUUCGACUUCAUUAUAAAUGAGUCUUCAAAAUUUCCACAUUUCUUGUGCACUUUUAUAAACAGAAGCUUUGAUGAAUUCAUUAGGGAUUAGUGUAGAUAAAAUUAUAUUUCUAGCCUUAAAAUCAAAUUGGGCUCUUCUAUUUUCCUCAACAGUGCAAUCAAAAUAUGAUUUCUCUACUUCUACACCAUCAACUGUGCUCUUAGGAAUAAAAGGACCAUUUUGUACAACUUCCCAGAUGCCUCUGUCAACCGACCCCAAAAAAAUUUCCAUUCUAACUUUCCAGAAAGCAUAGUUAUCAUUAGUAAAAAGUGAUGGUCUGUUAGUAGAAGCACCCUCAGUAUAUACAAGGUUUUGGUUGUGAUUGGCCAUUUUCGCAAAUAUUUUGAAAAACUAUCAAAGCAAGCUCUGAUACCAACUGUUUGUACCAGGAGGGUAUGAUUCGAAGAGUAUAACGCAGCGGAAUAAAACUAAGAGUAGCGUAUAAGCAUGUUCGGUCACCUUUUUAAAACAAGUUGGUCCUUUUUCGAAAAGCAAUUUUCUAUCAGAAAAUUUAUCGAACAGUUAAUAUGCGUAAAAUGAAAUGAGUGUAAGGAAUAGAAAAAUCACACAAGUAUUUUUAUACUGGUUCGAUUCAACAGAAUCUAUGUCCAGUCGUUAAUCACUAUAAAUAGUGAUUAACAGUUCCACUAAAAAGAUGUUUUUCAGAUUACAAUUAUAGUGAAUGAAAGACAGACAAAUAAACCUUCCUUCGAUGAACGAACCAGAAGAAGAACACUCUACCAACUCGAAGAGAACCGCUCCGACAAUCGACCAACGAUUCGCGAGCUUCUCCUAUUUACGAGACCUGACAGAGCACGUUGCUAACUCGAAGAGAUCCUGCUCCGACUAUCGACACACGAUACGCGAGCCUCUCCUAUUCACGAGACCAAGCAAGGGAACUUUGAAUGAAGCUUCUGAGAACUUUCCUCUGACAAACAGUGUUCUACUUAGCUAUCAGUUCAAAAAGGUUGCCUCUGAAAUUUACAGAAGUCAAAUAUAUAGCCAAUUGCACUGAAUGCCAAAGGUCAGGUCCCAACUGCCACGAAUAAUCGAUUAUUGUAAGUGAUAAUCGAUUAUUCAAGUCCGUUACAGGUUUUUCAAAAAGUGAUAAUCGAUUAUAUGAAGUGAUAUUCGAUUAUUCCUGAAUGACUUGUGAUAAUCGAUUAUUUCUUUCCCAUAAUCGAUUAUUCCAGUAGAAAAUACAAGUGAUAAUNGAUUAUUGCUUGUCCAUAAUCGAUUAUUGCAAUUAAAAAUGCAAGUUUUACAAAGUUUAUAAGACUUUCCUACUACAUUUAAUUUCUACAAAUUGCUUUUAAAUAAUUUUAAACUCCUCUUCAACUAAGACUUCUUGCAGCAUCAUCAAAAUAAUUGUCUUCAAGAUUUACCAAUACUCCUUAUUGGUAACAAUUUGUAGAUCCCCUAGCCCUGAGUUUUAGAGAUAGGUCUCUAUUAGAGCAUAUCUUGUUAUUUGCUUGCCAUUUCCUCUAUGUUAUAAUUCUGUUUUUUUUAUGAUGAUGUAAUCUUUAUUUUCAUAAAUAAAAUGAUCUCUUAAUUAUAUGCAUAAUUUGUUUAAUUGAGGGGGAGCACAUAUUUAAGGGGAGCUCAUAUUUAGGGGGAGCUCUUUACGUUAAUCUUUUUGUUUAUGAUAUAAAAAGGGGGAGAAACAUAAUUUAAGGACAUAAUUUAAGGGGAGAAGCAUAAAAUACAGGUAUUGCUUAACUCUGUUGUUGUUUGUUAGAUUGUAUGUUUUUGUAGGAUAGCCAAAGUUGCUUUUAAAACAGUAUUUUUGAUCAUCAUCAAAAAGGGGGAGAUUGUUACCAAUAAGGAGUAUUGGUAAAUCUUAAGACUUUUGUUUUGAUGAUGCUGCAAGAAGAUUUAGUUGAAGAAGAGUUUAAGUUUAUUUAAAAACAAUUUGUAGAACUUAAAUGUAGUAGGAAAGCUUUUCAAACUUUGUAAAAAUUACAUUUUGAACUACAAUAAUCGAUUAUCGUGAAGCAAUAAUCGAUUAUCACAAGUCAGCCAGGAAUAAUCUAUUAUCACUUCAUAUAAUCGAUUAUCACUUUUUGAAAAACCCGUAACGGACUUGAAUAAUCAAUUAUCACUUACAAUAAUCGAUUAUUCGUGGAAGUUGGGACCUGACUUUUGGCAUUUAGUGCAAUUGGCUAUAUAUUUGGCUUCUGUAAACUUUAGAGGCAACGUCUUUGAACUGAUAGCUAAGUAGAACACUGUUUGUCAGAGGAAAGUUCUCAGAAGCUUUGUUCAAAGUUCCCUUGCUUGGUCUCGUGAAUAGGAGAGGCUCGCGUAUUGUGUGUCGAUAGUCGGAGUAGGAUCUCUUCGAGUUAGCAAGGUGCUCUGCCUGGUCUCGUAAAUAGGAGAAGCUCGCGAGCCGGAGCGGUUCUCUUCGAGUUGGUAGAGUGAUCUUCUUCUGGUUCGUUCGUCGAAGGAAGGUUUAUUUAUCUGUCUUUCAUUCACUAUAAUUGUAAUCUGAGAAACAUCUUUUUAGUGGAACUGUUAAUCACUAUUUAUAGUGAUUAACGACUGGACGUAGAUUCUGUUGAAUCGAACCAGUAUAAAAAUACUUGUGUGAUUUUUCUAUUCCCUACACUCAUUUCAUUUUACGCAUAUUAACUGUUCGAUAAAUUUUCUAAAAGAAAAUUGUUUUUCGAAAAAGGACCAACUUGUUUUAAAAAGGUGACCGAAAACGCUUAUACGCUACUCUUAGUUUUACUCCGCUGCGUUAUACUCUUCGAACCAUAACCCCCCUGGUACCAACAAACAUUACCAUAUAAAAAGGCGUUUUCACUGCUAAGUAUAGUGGUGAUUUCGCAGCAAACUCCGGUUGGUGAAGUCCUCGAAGCCUCGACAUUGCCACCGUGCCCCCUUUCUUCCGCGGAUUCAGACGAACAAUCUAAAACAGUGCAAGGAUCCAUCGUUACCUGAAGAGAAGUGCGACAGUGAAGGCUAGAGAAUUUGGAGGAGAAAGAAGUUGGCGCAGAAAUGACAAAUGAUGAUUGAGUAAACCAGUGUUUUCAAAUAUCCUUUCACAUUAAUGAGGGGAAACUGACAUAACCGCAAGCGAUGUGCACCGUAGGAUCAAGAUGAUCUUUCGGUCGUACUUUUGGGACUCUGCAGUUGCCUCAAAGGCGGGAAAACCUAAACGAUUGUUUGGUAAAUGAAAUGUCUACAUUAAAUGGUGCACAUUAAGGAACCCUCAUGUCGAGCAUCACUCCGAAGUCCUAUAGUUAACCUGACCAUACAACCGGACGAUUAACUCAGACUUGGGGGGCAUUAUGUAUAAUAUGAUAUCUAGGCCGAGCGGUUAGCAUCCAAGUCCAAUAGAGGAUAAAAUGAUCAAAGAUAUCUAAUUAAAGAUAUUGAUAAAGUUGUUUAUCUGUAACCGUUGUUUUUGAGCAACCGACAGGAUUUUAAGGUAAAUAUGUUUAAGGUAAGUCUGUUUAUAUUUUAUUAGGCUUGUGAUAACUAAUAAAUACAGGAUCAAGGCUAAAAGCCAGGUAUGCUUCACUCACACUCGAAAAUACUCUAUAGUGAUAACAAAGUCACUUUCUAAAGAGCAAAAGCUCUACAACCUACGCCUAACUUGAGCGUCAGAGUGCAUUUUGCAGGUACAUCUCCCCUCUGCUGGUGAAGGAGUGCAAGUGGUGCAAGAUGAAGAAGUGCGAACGACGCCAUCGAAGGAGAACGAGCGAUACAGGCUGAAGGAAAGUGUUUGGCUCCAACGAAGGGUGAGCGAACGAUCUACACUACGGAGAAGCAAACAUAUCAAGCGUCCAGAAGUAGCAAAGAGACGUCAACGAGAUUAGUCUCUCAGUCCCAUAGAUCCAUACUAAAACAAAAUGUAUUGGCAGAACCACGAUUUUGUUACAUUUAUUUUUCUUAUAUAAUGUAAUAAUAUUUAACAUGAUUUAUGAUUAUAGAUAAUAUAAAUUUUAUAAAAGAAUAUGCAAAAUAUUCAGGUUAGACAAAAGAAGUAUAACUUAAAUUAAACAUGAUUAAUUUUUUUUCCUAAUUUGUCUAACAUAUCAUUUAAAAGGGUUUUAAGGUAACAUUAAUUUUAAGAGUGUUACUGAUGACUUUCCUCUCCAUCCCUCAGGCAAAAACCGUGAGAAUCCAAUAUAUAUAUAUAUAUACAUAUAAAUACCUUUUUAUUUUAUUUUAGAUAUUUAAAAGUUAAAACCUAUGUUAGGUGUCUUCAAAACAUAACGGUUUGGGAAAAACCUUUUUAUUCACUAUAUACGUGUAUGAGUAUAUGUUGUUCAUUUAUGUCUAGAUGUAUGUGGCCUUUAUGGUAUGAUCCAAAACAUCAAGACAUCUUGGCCAAAUACAUUUUGAUCAAUCGAAAUCAUUAUAUAAAAAACGUUGAUUGAGUUUAUUUAACAUGGUGAUUAUAAAGUAAGAUUAAGUAACUUGAAUGACUAAAAACUAAUUAUAAUAAUUAACAUGGGUCAUGCUUAUCCAAGUAAAAGGCUCAUAACACAUGGUAUACGUAGCAGAAUACAUAAGAUAAAUUAAUCACUUCUAUUAUUACAACAUUUAUUACAUUUUCAUGCACUUGUCUAACUUGAACAUUAAAGUAUCUUUUGUAGAUAUAACUCCCUUUUGUUUGAUACCAAGCCCCUCUAAAGGGAACUAUCAAUAUAAUAUUUGGGUGGAUUUGCUAGAGGAGACUCAUCGUCACAGCUAGGAAGCAACACCUUAAAAUUGUGCAGUCUGUUAACGUAGUAUGUAGAACCUAUAACAAAAAAAGAAUGCCUCAUAUUAUGUUCACGGAUGUUGAAUUUCAAGGGAUAGACCCUGAGCAGGAUGACCUUAUGGUCAUCAUGAUGGAAAUUGAGAAAUUGUUUGUCAAGAAGAUCUUGGUAGAUCAACUUAGUUUAGUAGACAUACUAUAUUGGAAGACAUAAAAGAAGUUAGAGUUGUUGGAAAAGGCGAUGACCUUGUAUGAUGAGCUCAUAUUCAGGUUUUCUAGAGAAAAGGUUGAUACUAAGGGGUAUAUCGACCUAUAUACCACCUUCGGGAAAGGAAACUUGAUGAAAAACAUACUUAUAUGGUAUCUGGUUAUAUAUAACAUUUUCUUGGGACGAUCAUCAACCAACCUCUUCAAGUAACGAUGUUGUUAUGUGCAAGUUGUGUUAAGCUCUAAACCUUGUUGGUUGCGUAUUGCCGACCAAACAAGGUAUGGAUAGUUAAGAAGUUGUACACUAAGUUGGAUGGCUAAGUGUUGAACUAUGCUAGCGCUUUCCCCUUUAAGGAUAGCGUGAAGGCCUAAGACCACAUGAAAUUGAUCCUGCUAAAAAAGAUCAUGGUGUUGAAAAACGUCCGUUGGUUAUCGUCGGGGUCAGUUGGCCCAUCGUAUUUCUCGAAUGCUGGAGGCAUCCACCGCUCGGGCAUGAACUCAUCCAUGAUAGCAACUUUAAGAGGUAACAGACUAUCCGUUUACAAAGUUUUCAUUGUGAGAGAUUCCUUGCUUGCUCCCAUAUGACUUGUUCACAUUCGAAGGACCAGCCCUACUUAGUACAAAGUUUUAGGCAGUCUUCUCGUGACGUAGAGUUGCAUUCUCAGUCCUCAACACCGCUAUCUCAACUUCAUGUCUCCUUUACAACUCUUGUAUUUGUCUUUGCAUCUCCCUAAUCAACUCCAUAGGAUCUUGUUGCUUACCCAUGUUUCUUAUGGUCACCAUUAGGUUUUCUUGUACUUCCUUGAACUCCACGGUGGGUGUCAAAAAUUUUCGGUUUAUGGAGUUGAGGUUAUGAAUCUUCCAAGUUUUAUUCGUCCAAUCGUUAAUCCUAGUCACCAUUUUUCCUUCACAUCAUUUGGUCGUAUUGGGAGAUUACCUAUGAAAGACACUCUAAUGCCAGAGUGAGCAAAGAUUUGACAGUUUUAGUAAUAAAUGUAACCAACCUACCUCUUUACUUCAAACCUAUAUUAAUAGUUUUUGGAACAUGCUUAGAAUUAAUGUUGACCUAAUUAUGACUCAAUUGGUGACAACCGUGUUUUAUAUUAAGUUAAUCAUCAUUAUCCUACGUAGUUGUCCACCCUCCUCAAUAUCCACAUUGUUGCCACCGCUAAGUUUAGUGUCACCACUCAAGUUGCCACCACUAUUGGUCGCCUCUCAUGUUGUCGUUUACUCAUGCCACCACUUCUACACGUUCUACUCAUGUUGUCGCUCGUUCGCUCAUCACGUUGUCGUCACUAUUCUUGACCCAUUACCACCAUUGUUCGUUUCGUGUUGUUGUCUUGUGUUUGUUCCCAUUCUCGUUGUUGCUGCUCGCAAGGCAUUGUUGGUACUCUACUCGUUUGCUUACGUCUCAUGACACGUUGUUCUUUCCAUCUUGUUCACUCUUCAUUCUACGUAAGUUUAUUUAUUUUAAUAUGAGUAAAGUUUUUAUUUGUUUUAUUGGUGAUGUUUCAAAGGUUGACCCUAUUUCAAAGGUAGUUUAAAGCAUUUGAAGAAAUGACGUUCUCGUUAAAUUUUUUUACUCUUUUUUGUAUUUAACAAUGAUCAUUUGAACCAUUAUCGUUUUAUCCCGACUUUUAAUGACAACUAUAUCUACAACAAUUCAAAAGUCGUUAUUGGAGGACCAUUUUAACCGUCGACGAAAGUUUGUUCUAUAGUUGUGUUAAAUUGAAUUUGACUCUUAGGAUCAAUAAAUAUUCCUUUUCCAGCUUGUUUGAGGUAGCGUAAAAUUCUUAAAGCACCUUGAUGCACAACUUUAGUAAUAUCUGACCUAACAACAAUAGAAAAUUUAACUGAAUGAUUCGUAGGAGUUGAAACUGGAGCAUGAUGUCAGUCUUGUAUCUUCAAGUUCUGUUGACAUAGGUGAACAUCGUCUUUAUAUCUUACAGCUUCCACCCAGAGGAAGUCAACUCACCGAGGUUCUUUAUCUUAAGUUCUUUUGAGAAGUUCAAUUAUCCUUUCAAUUUAAAUAAUGUUGGCUCCAAUAAUGAUGACAUCAUCUACAUAAGAAAAGUAUUAAAGAAGUCAAGUCCUUCAAUUGUGUAUAUCCUUUAGUUACAAGACUUGUCUUAUAUAUAUAUAUAUAUAUAUAUAUAUAUAUAUAUAUAUAUAUAUAUAUAUAUAUAUAUAUAUAUAUAUAUAUAUAUAUAUAUAUAUAUCAUCAACUUUCCAUUUAGGUUUAUAGACCCACUUGCAUGUCUGAUUAUAUUCUAGAGCAACCACUUCCUCAUCCAUUACUUUUUACCAAUGUGCAUGUUUGGGAACCUUUUUAUAUAGUUUUGGUUUGUCAUUGGUAGGGAUGGUAACAGGUCGGGUCAGGUACGGAUAGUGUGAUACCCGAAUCUAACCUGCAGGUAAAAAUUGUACCAUUUCGCCGUCUCGCUACCCGUCGGAUACUAACUUAAAAAAAACGCACGGAUUAUCCAUUCGAUACCCGUUUUCUUGUCUGAUAGAAUAAUAACAUAUGAAAAAAAUAAUAAAUAAAUAAUAAUAUAUGAAACAAAAUUUAUGGGCUGGUCCAUUUACUCUCUUUCAAAAACCACUAGGGUUUAUUCUUCUCAAACAAAGGGAGCAACCUCCAUCUUAUUCUUCUUCUCUAUUCAAGUCAAUCUCUAUUGCCCAACAGAAGCUUCAAGCUUCCUUUUUCUCCCUUUCACAACCAAACCUUAUGCCCACUAGGAGUCAUCACUCGUUCAUCAUUCAUUGUUGUGGUAUUUUGUGUAGUCUCAUUCAUCAUUCUCUGGUGUGGUGUGGUGAGAGAGAGUUUAUGUGUUGGUGUGUUGGUAAUAAUGGCGGAAGAGGAGCUUGGUAUACUCUACUUGUUCUGUGAUUUGUAUUUUUAUUAUUAUUUAUUUUCAUUUGUCAAAUGUAUGCGUUAUUGUUUUGUAGUGAUGGGAAGCUUGAGGUUGUGAUUCCUUCUUUUGUUCACUACCUCGUGGUUCUAAAAGGUGGUGAUAGGGACAAAAUGCCAGGUAAAACGAUUUUGGGGUUUUACUAUUUUUUUGUGAUAGGAUUGCAUCGAUGAUGUUGUUGAAGUUGCAACAUUUAUAAAGCAUAAAAUAUAUGUUGUUUCCCAUUAUUUUCUCCACAAGCCUUAUUUUUGUGUGUGGAUAUACUAAAGGUUAUAAGAAUUUGUUCAGGCUAAGUUGUCUGCUGAUAGGGAUGAUGCUUGGAAAGAACGAGAAGCUGUUGUCUUGGCCCUUGGUGCCAUAGGUGAAGGUUGCAUCAAUGGUCUUUAUUCUUAUCUGUUGGAGGUAUUUUUUAUUCGAAGUUGUUGUAGUGUUUGAUUGUUCUAGGUCUAGUCGUCAUGUUUUACCCUAUUUAUAUAUUUAUAUUUAUAUAGUCUGAUCUCUCUUUAUAUAAUUUGACCCUGUUACCAUUCUGGCACAACAUUGUAUAAACAACAUUGUAUAAGAAGAUGAUGCAACAAGAUAUUCGACAUAGCCCAACACUGUGCACUAAUGUUGGUGGCCCAAUUGGCUUCAGCCCAAGAAACGUCAAAAGGGUUUUGGCAAAACAGAAGCGUCAUUUAGACGAGAAAGGAUUUCUUGUGAGAGGAGAGAGAACAGAGCAUCGAGAGGUCUCCGAGGAAUGCGAUAGCGAGAACUUCCGGCGGAGGCUGCGGUGGCCGGAGACGAAGAAGACAAAGUUGAUCAGCGUAAGGAGAUCGGUAAGAAAAACACAAUCUUUUAUUAUUUCUAAAUAAAACUCAUACAUGUAUAAUGUUUCUGUAUUCUACUCUUAAGGGAAGAACUAUUAUAUGUAUAUAUAGAGUUCGAAGGGGGGAAAAACGGGAAAAGGGAAAAACACUCAAACCGAAUACCACGUAAUUGUCCUUCUGACAGUAACGGAAAAACUAACAAUCCUCAAAAGCCUCCCCUCAAGCUGGACGGUGUAUACUCACCAGUCCAAGCUUGGGAACAAUGGUUCUGAACUUGACACGGUGUGGAAAUUUAGUGAAAAGAUCUGUCAGUUGCUCGUCGGAUCGAACGGGAAGGAGAUGAAGAAGACCCUCUUGUAUCUUCUCACGAACAACAUGGCAAUCAAGCUCUAUGUGCUUGGUGCGUUCGUGAAAGCUCUGAUUAUGAGCAAUAUGCCUCGCGGACCUGUUGUCACAGUACAAAACAGGGGUUCCGGAUUCUUCUAUCUGAAGGUCCUGUAGGAGAUAACAAAGCCACUAUAUUUCACAUACAAUGGCAGCAAGAGCACGAUAUUCAGCUUCUGUAGAGGAUCUGGAGACCGUCUUCUGCUUUUUAGACUUCUAGGAAAUGAGAGACGAUCCAAGAAAAACACAGAAGCCUGUGGUGAAUCUUCGAGUGUUGGGACAAGUGGCCCAAUCAGAGUCACUAAAACCUUUUAGCUUCAUAGGAGAAUCUGUAGCAAAGAAUAAUCCUUGGGACGGCUCGGAUUUGAUGUACCUGAGAAUGCGUUGAACAGCACGAUAGUGAUAACUAGUAGGGGUUUGCAUGAAUUGAUUGGAUAAAAUUGGCAGAUAUUAGAAAGGUUGACAGUUUUCCAAACCAUUGCCUAAUGGCUUGUUCCAUAUAAAGAUUUAGUUAACUUGCAAGCCUGUCCUUUUUGGAUGUUCAAACCUAGGGGUGGUUCCAUAUAGACCUCUUCAUUGAGAUCUCCAUGUAAAAACGCAUUAUCUACAUCAAGUUGAUGUAGAAACCAAUUGUGUGAAGCAACUAGAGCUAUGCAUAAUCUGACAGUAGUUAGCUUGGCCACAGGAGAAAAGGUAUCCAGAUAAUCAAUUCCUUCCUGUUGGGUGUAUCCCUUUGCCACCAAUCGAGCCUUAAGCCUUUCAAUGCUACCAUCUGCCUUAUACUUGGUCUUGUACACCCACUUACACCCUAUGGGGGUUUUUCCUGAAGGAAGUUGUACUAAAUCCCAAGUCUUCUUAUCCUGUAAAGCUUUAAUUUCUCUUUUCGUGGCUUCCACCCAUUUAGCCAUUCCCUUAGCUUGAUUAUAAGAUUGAGGAUCCUUGUUUUCAGUGACAGCCAAUGUAUAUCUUAAGUGUUUCUCUGUCAAAUUAUCACAGCAUAAUGAAUUAGAAAUCGGAUAAGGAGUCUUAAAAUUGUUUUUCAUAGUUAAGGAUUGAUUGACCUGGUGAACAUAGUCUUUGAGAUAUUCCGGUGUCUUUCUAGGCCUUUCGAAUCUCCUUUGCUCACGAACCUCCUGAUUGUUUCCUGUACUGCAACUAUUUUCUCUAUUAUCAGAUGUCUGUUGUAUCUGUUCUUCAUUUUCAGCAUUAGGUUCAGUGUGUCUGUCAUUGUUUGUGGUACACUGAUCUCCCAGUAGAUUGUGGAGAGAGUCUGCCUUGUCUCCUUCACUGUCAAUAUUUUCAGCAUUUCCUUGCUGAUUUUGGUAAGGGAAGAUGUCUUCAUGAAAGACAACAUUUCUCCUUAUAAAAAGUUCCCUGGUGUUCAAGUCAAGUACAAUAUAACCCUUCAUACCAGGUUUAUAUCCUAGAAAUAUACCUUUCCUAGCUCUUGGAUCAAGUUUACCUCUGUUGUUCUCAAGUGUGGAAGCAAAACACAAACAUCCAAAGGAUCUUAGAUCUAAGUAAGUGGGAGGAAGAUUAUACAACAGAUCAUGAGGAGUCUUGUUAUUUAAAAAGGGAGUGGGUAAUCUAUUUAUUAGGUAAACAACAUGUCCUACUGCAUAGGACCAGUAAGAGUUAUGUUCUUAACACAACUUUUUUGAUGUAUAAUGCCAUGUGAAUCGUAAAAAUUCAUGCAGUUGAAUUCAGGUCCAUUAUCUGAUCUAAUGACCUUAACCAUUUUGUUAAAUUGAUUUUUGAUCUUAAUAACGAAGUUUUGUAGUAAGUCUCUAGCUUGUCCUUUAUUGUUCAUUAGAAAAAUCCAUGCAUGCCUACUAUAGUCAUCUACUAUAGUAAGAAAAUACCUAUGCCCAUGGACAGAAAUAGUUUUGAGAGGGCCCCAUAUAUCACAGUGUAUAAGAUCAAAACAUUCAUUAGUAAGAGAAACGCUUUUAGUAAAGGGUAAUCUGUGCUGUUUAGCAUAAUGACAAGUGUCACAAACAAUAUCAGCACCCAUUUUGAUAUAAGGAAACUUCUCACACAUUUGUCUUACAACCUUUUGUCUUGGAUGGCCUAGCCUAACAAGCCACAGAUUAAUAUCAACACUCUUAAAAGAAAAAACAGAAUUUGUAAUACAUCUUGAAUUGGAUUUUGAAAAAGCUUGUAGAUAAUAGAGGCCUCCCCAAGAGUUAGCACAUCCAAUCAUCUUCAAAGUAUUGUUCUCCCUUAUCUGACAAGUCUUAGAAGAAAAGGUUAGGCUGCAAUUCAAGUCCUUAAUAAGAUUUUGGACAGAAAUCAGAUUGAAACAGAAGUCAGGAAUGUAAAGAACAUUAACAAUGAUAAACUUUUUUGUGAAUUGCAUAGUCCCAACGUAUUCAGUAGUAAUUAUCGUGUUGUUAAGUAAUCUGAUAGGAACAGGUUUGAUCUUAUAAAAGGUCAUAUAAUUCGUUUUAUCAUGUAUGACGUGAUCAGUAGCACCAGUAUCUAAAAUCCAGGAUAGGUUACCUUUUUCAUUUUCAGUAUUGUUUCUCUGGACUUGAUUAAUCUUGUGGAUAGAUUCAUCGCUUUUAUCUAUCAUUCUGAGUAAUUUCUGCAUUUGUUUAGUUGUGAGGGAAUUUAGAAUGUUGCCGUUAUUGAUCUGUUAAAUGUUUUGAACCCCUUCAGUCCCAUUGCUAUUCGAGCUAACAUUAGCAGAACUCCAAUAAUUUCUUUUCUCAGAAUUAUUGUCCCCCUUUUUGUACCAAGGAGGAUAUCCAUGCUUAGAAUAGCAUUUGUCCACUGUGUGAUUCAUUUGUUGCAAAAAGAACAUUGCUUUCCAUAGUUAGAAUUUUUGCCUCUACCUCUUCCUUGUCCACGUAAUCCAGGACCUCUUCCUUGAUUCCCUUGAUUUUUCCAAUUCUGAUCAGGCUUCCAGGAACUACUUCUGUCAGCAGCAUUAGCCAAAAUCUUGAUUUCAGCAGAGACUUGCUUUUCUUGUCUCUCUUGUUGCAUAAUAAGAGAGAAGACACGGUUAAUGUAUGGAAGAGGGUCCAUCAACAGGAUCUGUGUCCUGACAAUGUUGUAGGAAUCAUUUAGUCCUUUGAGAAAACAGAUCACAUGUUCAACUUCCCUGUAUUUCAAAGAACAUCUGGAGAGAUCACAGUUGCAAGGGGUUGGACAUGUGCAUGUGGGUAUGGGUCUUAAAGACUCUGGUUCUUCCCAUAGAAUCUUAAGGUCAGUGACAAAUUGGCUGACUCCUCGCUCUCCUUGUUUGAUGGAGUGUAUGUCCUGAAGUAAGUCAGAUAUCUUGAAAUAAUCCCCCUUUGAAAAACGUUCUUUCAGCUCAUCCCAUAGUUCUUUUGCCUCCUCCACAUAUAUGACGCUUUUAGCUAUCUCAGGGGAGAGAGUUUUUGUUAUCCAAGAUAAGAUCAUCAUGUUGCACCUCUCCCAGGCAUCAAACAAAACAUCCAUUCUUUCCGGUUUCUUUAUCGUACCAUCAAUGAAUUUAACCUUAUUCUUGGAAAGCAAGGCACGUCGCAUGCUCCUGCUCCAUGAGGAGUAGUUGUUGUCGUUUAAAACUUGAGUGAUCAAGGUGAGUCCAGGAUUUUCACCUGGGUGUAGAUAGAAGGGACUAAUUGGGUUGGAUGACUGAUCCAUCUGUUCCAUGAAGAAGCCUAGAAAAGUAAUCCAAGAAGAUCUUCAAGAAAGAAGAAGCGAACAACGGAAGCAGAGUAGGCACUAGACCUGCUCUGAUACCAUAUUCGACGUAGCCCAACACCGUGCACUAAUGUUGGUGGCCCAAUUGGCUUCAGCCCAAGAAACAUCAAAAGGGUUUUGGCAAAACAGAAGCGUCAUUUAGACGAUAAAGGAUUUCUUGUGAGAGGAGAGAGAACGGACCAUCGAGAGGUCUCCGAGGAAUGCGACGGCGAGAACUUCCGGCGGUGGCUACAGUGGCCGACGACGAAGAAGACAAAGUUGAUCAGUGCAAGGAGAUCGGUAAGAAAAACGCAAUCUUUUAUUAUUUCUAAAUAAAACUCAUACAUGUAUAAUGUUUCUGUAUUCUACUCUUAAGGGAAGAACUACUAUAUGUAUAUAUAGAGUUCGAAGGGGGAAAAACGGGAAAAGGGAAAAACACUCAAAUCGAAUACCACGUAACUGUCCUUCUGACAGUAACGGAAAAACUAACAAUCCUCAAAACAAGACAUGAUUAAAAGCUGUGAAUGUUAAAUCGUAUUUUUUGGAGCAUGACUAACAUUUUUUAUUAUGUUUUGCUGAUAUGGUUCAUCAAUAUCUACAUUUAAAGGGUUCUAACUGAGACUCAGAGCUCAAAAGUGCAUAUAUUGUGUUGUUGGAAGAGAAUAGAUUUUAAAUUUUACUUCUGUGAUGAUUAGUAGUUGUACAUAGGAGGUAAAAACCAAUUUGGUUCAAGGCAUUUCAUGAACUUGGAAUUUAUGACAUGCAGGAGAACAUUCCUCUUGAAGAGGUUUUUGAUAAUCUUAAAUGCAUAAGAGAAGGCUUAAGCUCUCAACAAGUACAAGAGAGGCUAGACUUGUUUGGAUACAAUAAGCUUGAAGAAAAGAAGGUAAAAAGUCAAACAUCAAUGCCUUUUUAGUUUCUUAUUUCUUUUUCGAAAUGUUUAUCAGGUUUCUCAUGAAUAGCUUCGGCAUAUACCUUUUGAUAAUUGAACAGGAAAGUAAGAUAUUGAAGUUUUUGGGGUUUAUGUGGAAUCCUAUGGGUUAUGGAAGCUGCUGCUAUCAUGGCCAUAGGCAUGGAGGGGUAAAUCUUCACCUUUGAUAGUGUUAUAUCAAACCUAUGAUAGUGGAUAAAUCUAUUACUUACAUAUAUAACACUAAAUCUCGUUGUUAGUUUAUAAUAAUUUCAUAAAGAGAACAAUUCCCUCUUAAAGAUACAUUGUUUCUAUAUUUUUAUAUUAUACAUAUUUACAUAUUGCUCGUUGCUAUAUUACUAAACUUCUGGUUUUCUGAAUGCAGACUUCUCUUCAUGGAAGUUGUCCAGUGAUUAAGGGAGAGAAAUGGGUGGCAACAAAGUGAAUUGAUGAUGAAGAGCAAUAGUACUACAACAAAAAUGAUUUUAAACAACAAUGAAAUACUACGACCUAAAGAGUAAAAACCGUUGCGUAAAUUGUGAGUGUAGAAAUUUAUCUUCUAAAAUUUUGAAUAUUUGUAUUUUAAUAUUUAAUGAAUAUUAUAAUUUGGUAAUUGGAACAUAUCCUGCCACUCAAGCUUCAAGAUUAUUUUGCCGAUAGCCAUUCUACUGAAACGGAUCCUGUCACUCAAGAAUAAUGAGUCUUAUCUUGAUUAUUAUUGUUUAGGCUUUUAGAGUUUAAUGUGUAGUAAGUAUUGCUAUAUAUCCUGUCACACCUUAUUCUUUCUAUGUUGAAUGUAUUUUAUUUCAUGCUUUUAACUAGUUAUACCUUGAACACUUUCUCUUAGCAAUUUUAUUGUCUUGCCAAUUUUUUUGGAUCAUUAUUAUUUUUCUCUUGUAAUAGACAAUGAAAUUUUAUUUUAUUUGUCUUUAUUUUUUUAGGAGAUGAAAUAUAAUAUUGGGUAAAUGAGUAACAACAAAUUUAAAAGAUAAUAUUAGUACAUUUGAUUGAAUGUCAAAAUGUCAGCCUGUUUUUUUUUUUUUUAAAAAAAAAACCUGAAUCUAUUAUAACAAACUUUUUUUGCUAUGUUAUUAUAACGUACUUUUUUAUGAGGUUGAAUCUAUUAUAAUGUACUUUUUCAUUACGUCAUAAAAUUUGUAGACUUAUUAUAUCGCUCAGAGUUAUAUCUUCAUUUUGUACGUUAAAAUAGGUCAUUUUUGUAUGUUAUAAAAUGUGAUUUUUGUGCUGUCCAUACAGGGCGUCUAAGCUCUGUGUUGUCCCUCCUCCUAGUGUUUUUCCAAGCCUUUUUGUCUCCUUGGUUCUUCAUCUCUAUUUCCAGUAUUACUUCAUUCUCUACCAAAACAAUGGGAAUUAGUCAUAGAAUCAUUUAAAUCAACAUCCACUCUCUUAUUCACACAACUUAAUGCAAAAGCAUGAGUCAAAGCAAGUUUCUAAGUGAAAAAGGAUGUUUUUAGUAUCAAAGUCACAUUACAUAUAACAACAUUUUCAACCGUUAUCAUAGUGCGUAUUGCAGCAGCCAAAGCUUGAAGUUUACACUGGUUUUAAACAUUAUUUUGAGCUUUUUGAACCUUCAUAUCACGGAACCAUAAAAAACCAUGAGAACAAAGAUAUAUAUAUAUAUAUAUAUAUAGAGAGAGAGAGAGAGUGAGUGAAGAAAAAAAACCAUAAAGUUAGAAAAAAAGAAGAAGUGAUAUAUUAAAGAAAGAGAUAUAAUUGUGUGCAUACGAAGUCCAACAGUGAUCUUAGUACAAACUUUGAGAAUGUGAAACCUUUUGUAUUAUUCUUAACUUCGUAAAUUUAGCACAAAUGAGCUUAAUAUAUACUCUCUCUUUGGAGAGUUUUUUGUUAUUUCAAGAGUUCUUAAUUUUUGGAAAAGAUUGAAAAAUUGUACCUGAGAUUUAAUAAUCGUGUAAUCUGGAGAGGUGUAAUAUGAAAAUUUUGAUGUACUUGCUGUAAUCAAAAUUUUAUUUGAUUAGUGAAAUUUUUUAUAAGGAAAACUUAAUAUAUUGUGAAGAUUUGGGAUAAACUAUCAUAAAAUUUUAUUUAUGGUUGGUUUGUUUAUUUUAAGUUAUUUUAAUUUUAUGUUAUGCAAAAAAGAGUUUGAGACUCUGUUCAAUCCUCUUUUUAGAACUUUGUACGAGGAAGAUGAGAUUUUGAGAAAAAAAUAAAACAAACAAAAACAAAAGAAAGAAGAAGAGAUGAAAGAGAAAAGAAGGUGCAGGGGUUUCAUAUGCAACAACUCAUGUUUUAUUUAAAUGAAAAGAAAUUAAAGACUUUACAAAUUAGUUAAAAUUUAUAUUAUAUAUAUUUUACAAUUUAUAUUUGUACUAAUAUUUUCACUGCUCUCAACUGGUCUGUGGUUAAUGACAUAUUGAAUAAUUUGAACACAUUGCUUGUAAGUUCUUCUACGUUAUGAGCAAAAUCAUCAAUUGAAUAAUGACUAAAAAAAUAAUAAGAGAACCAAAUACAAUUAAUAGAAAAGGAAUUCAGCAAUGAAAAAUACAUAGCAUUUUUUAAAAUACAUAAUUACAAUUUUUCUAUGUUUUUAGUCAAUAUAUAAUUAUUUUUAGGAGUACAACAACUAUUAAUAAUAUAUAACCAAUACAACAAUAUAUUCAAAAUAAAACAAAUUUGUUAGCUCAAGGGAAAUGAAAUCCUUCAUCACAGUCUUCUAUCAACAAAAUAAUCAGAAAAAAGACACUCAUAUUACAACUAAACUUGGAAUUAAAUAUCCAUAAGGUACCUACAACACAUUCAUAUUAGAACUAAACUUUGAAUCAAAUAUCCUAUGCAGUGCAAAGUGAUAAAGUGAUAACGUUCUUGCUUAACUUCUUUUGUUUUCAAUGAAGGCACAAUUGAAUUUGAACAAAGUGUACAACAAAACAACCCCAAGUCAUGCAACCAUUCUCACAAGCCAUUGAGGCUUUCCUAUUAAUAACACACAACAUCCCAUUCCCAUUCCAAAUACCAUUCCACAUCCAUAUCCUAUUGCCACCGCUUUCCAUCCAAAUCCAUAUCCAUAUCCAUGUUCUCUCUUGAAGGGCACUGAAGGUGGAGAAUGUUCUUCAAUGUCCUUGUUGCAUUUUUUUGUCAAUGGGAACCCACAUAACUCAGAGUUUCCCUUAUAGGAAUCAUUGGAAAAUGUAUUGAAUUGUUUUCCUUGAGGUAUUUCUCCCACAAUAUGAUUAUUGGAAAUAUUCAGAACUUCCAGAAAGUUCAAAUUGGUUAGUUCUGUAGGAAUCAUACCAGUAAGCAUAUUUGAGGACAGAUCUAGCGAUUCUAAGUUUGUCAAAUUUCCCAGGGAUUGAGGAAUAGGACCACUAAGUGUGUUAUGAGAAAGGUUGAGCGCUCUAAGAGCAUGAAGUUCUCCAAUCACGUUUGGAACCUCUCCUUCAAAUCUGUUUUCUGAUAAAUCAAUUGUUACAAAGUCUGUCCGAAUUUUCUGCAUUGUAACAACGAUUGAUUUUGUUGUUAUAGUCAAAGAAUCAUAACCUGAAUAACUUUUGAUGUAUUCCUCAUAUUCAUCUUGAACAACAUUCUUCAUAGCUUCAAACAUUCUUAUGUAGACCUCUGGUAUUGGGCCGCUGAAGUUGUUGGAAGAGAUAUCAAGUAUAACUAAAUUGGCAAACCCAUGUUUGGUCUUUAAAUUUUCAAUGGGGCCAUGAAACUUAUUGGAUCGCAAAACCAAUAAUCUUAAAUGUGAUAGACCUUGAAGCCAAUUAGGAAAUGCACCUUCUAAUUGAUUGUUGGCAAAAUCUAAACCCACUAGAGUAAUGCAAUUGGACAUAGAUUCUGGCAAAGAACCUUUUAAUUGGUUGUCAUUGAGAUUCAGAAUUUUGAGCAGACAGUUCUUUGAAAAGCCACUUGGCAAAGUGCCAUGAAGUUUGUUGUGUUGUAGAUCCAAAACAGAAAGGAAUGAUGAGUUAGCAAGGCAUUGUGGAAUGAUGCCCGUCAACUUGUUGUGUGACAAGUUGAGAUACUCAAUUGAACUUGCAUUGCAAAUUGAGGAAGAGAUGCCACCAGUGAUUUUGUUAAAACUAAAAUCAAGAUAACUAAGUUGUUGGUUCCAUGAAAAUUGGUCCAGGGAUUGCUCCAAUUGGUUGUGAGAGAGGUCCAACAUAGAUAAUGACCUAAUUUUGGGUAACCACUUGGGAAUUUUUCCUUUGAUUUUGUUAUUGGAUAAAAAGAGAAGUAUUAAUAUUGGUACUUUUCCUGAUAACUUUGGAAAUUCAGUUAAACUCGUAGAAGAUAGGUCCAAAUUCUCUAACGAGGAAAAAGUACAGUUGACAUUGGAUUCAAAAUUAAGGAAAAACUGAUUGGAAAGAUUAAGAAAUUCCAAAUUUUGAAGCUUACAGAAAAGAGGAAAGUGAACAUAUCCACUUAAGUUGUUUGACGAUAGAUCUAUGUAAGUAAGAUUUACAGGACUGAAAAUUGUUUCUGAAAUAUUACCUUGUAGCUUGUUGUAGGACUCCAAGGAAUAUGAUGAUUCUGAACUUAGAAGCCCUGUGAACUUAUUUGUUGACAAAUUUAAAUUCACCAAAGAUGGCAAAGAUAAACACCAUGAAGGAAUUGUCCCAUUAAGCAAGUUGUUAUCUAAUGAUAAGAUAAUUAGACUUGAAAAUCCUGUUAUAUUUUUGGGCAAUGGACCCUGUAAUUUAUUAAAAGAAAAUAUCAGUUCAGAAAGUUGAGUUAAGUCAAACAAUGAAGAUGGGAUUUUUCCUUCAAAAUUGUUCUGCGAAAUAUCAAGAGCUGACAAUUUGGUUAGCCCGACAAACACGUCUGGGAUUUGACCACUGAAUUUAUUUCUGGAAAGAUCCAAGAGAGUGAGAUGUUGAAGAUUUGAAAGUGUUGAUGGUAACUCACCUCCUAAAUUGUUACUACUGAAAUCCAAUUGUUUAAAUUUGUUUGCCUGAGGAAAAACAUUCGGGAUUUCACCACUAAGAUUAUUACCAUCGAUAUAGAGAAAAGAGAGACGUGGAAGGGUUAGGAGUGAGGAUGGGAUUGAAUCCACAAGAGAGUUAUGUGAGAGGAAUAAUGAAGUAAGGUGUGAGAGGUUAGAGAAGGAGGGAGGGAUUGAAUCCACAAGAGAGUUAGAUGAGAGGUCUAGGAAAGUAAGAUGUGAGAAGUAAGAGAAAGAGGGAGGAAUUGACCCUUGGAAGUUAGAAUAUGAAAGAUCUAAGAUAUUAAGAGAAGUAGUGCUACAACCAACUUUUGGAAGGUGGGUUUGAAGGAACAGAUUAUAUGAAAGAUCGAGGUGUUGAAGAUUUGGUAAACAAAAGAUACCAUAUGUCAAGUUUUCUCUUAGCUGAGUCCCUUGAAGACUAAGAGUGACUAAGGAGGAAGACAAAUUGAGAAUGUUGAUUGAAAUUGAAGACAUGUCUGUAUCAUCCAGAACAAGCUCUUUAAGAUCUGUUGCAUUAUGGAGUAGACUCUUCCAAGGGCCUUCUUUCCACUUUAAAUCAGGGUUAAGAGAUAGAUCCAGGGAGACUAAUUUUGUAAGGUGUGAGAGUUGGGAAGGAAUUUGACCUUGGAAAGAAGAACAAGAUAAGUUAAGGUAUGUGAGACUAGCAAACCUACCAAAAAGAAAUGAAAAAUGAGAUGGAUAGAAAAUGUUGAAAGCAAGGUUGAGUGAUUGGAGAUGAGAAAGAAGGAAAAGUGUACUGUUUGGAUAGAUUUGGCCAGAAAGGCCACUGCAGGAAAGGUCGAGACCGAUCACAUGACCGGAGAUGGGGUGACAGGUGACU